GGUUAGCCUUCUUGGUCAUGGGCUUGGGUGCUGCCGGGAUCGGGGUCGGGGACGGGCUCGUGCUCGGGGAGGGGGAGGGGGAAGUCGACGCGCUCGUCGUCUCCUUGGCUGAGUCCAUGUCAGGCUGCACAUACACAAACAACUUUACAGUGAGAUCGAGUCUUGAAGUAAUAGUACUAGCCGGCCAGCAUCCGAAAGACCGAAAACAGUUGUGUGUGUGACGUGAAAGCUCACCUCGGUCUGGGCCCUGACGACGAGGGUGCGCCGGCGCGGGGCCACCACUGGAGAACGGGCGGCGGACAGGCCAACAACGGCGAAGGAGCUCAAAGCCACCAUGGUCGCCAUCACUCAAGGCAGAGAAAAGCUAGCGCAAGAAGAGAACUAGAGAAGGUGCUGCUUGCUAAGAUCGAUGGUGAUGACACUUGGCUGAUGUUGUGUUGCUGUGUCUAUUGUGAGCGAGCAUGCGCGCAUUUUAUAGCGACCGCGAGGGUCACACGCCGGUGGACGCGGCCGUGGCCACGUGAACGACCUCCAAGAGCUGUACGUGGAGGGAGGGAGGCGGCGGCCUCACGUCGACGUGGACACCGAAGGCGCCAUAAAGUGGCACGAGCCUNNNNNNNNNNNNNNNNNNNNNNNNNNNNNNNNNNNNNNNNNNNNNNNNNNNNNNNNNNNNNNNNNNNNNNNNNNNNNNNNNNNNNNNNNNNNNNNNNNNNGAAUUCACGCCAGGUACCGGUCAUCUUCCGAGUCCCAGUCAUCCACACCAUGGAGCGCUCGUCAUCAGGAGAGAAGUGAACCGUGACAUAGAACUGGGCAACAACAUUGGGGUCAAAGUCUGACUUGAAAGUGAUGAUGUCCUUGAUGCCCAGUUUUUCAAUCAGAGAAAGAGCAUCACCAAAGUAGUCCAUGUUCCGCUGAAGGUGAGUCAGGUCAAUCCACUGAACGGGGACAAAGUUCUUCCUGAAAUUCAUGACAAUAUCACGGAAGAUCCUGGAGUGAUCCCUUGCCCAAACAUGCUCAACAUUUUUUAUCGCAGCCAGCUCUUGGAGGUAAUGGUUUUGAGUGCGGAACCGCAGAAAGUCCUUAGGGGGCAUUGUGCGGACAUUGAUCCCCUUGUCCUUGUGAGCGGUCUUCUUGAAGGCCUGCUUUUUGGGUUGCAGACCUGAAGUGGCGGAGCCCUCUGGAGCCUCUGGGUUGCGAUAAUGCUUUGACUGCGUGUCCCGUGAGGGGUUCGAGCGGCGAGCAGCACCUGUGACACACACAAAAACGCACACCGAUAAGGAGCGACAAAAAGAGUCAAGGCAAUGAACUAGAAAAGGCAGAAAAGUAAACACUCAUUGCCAAGCAUAUGAAAAGAAUACACAGUGAAUCCUCCUGGCGGUAGUACCUCUAUCCCUGGCGGUAGUACCGCUGGGGUCCUAGCGGUAGUAUCGCUACCCCUGGCGGUAGUACCGCUGGGGGUCCUAGCGGUAGUACCGCUACCCUGGCGAUAGUACCGCUGGGGUUUGAUUUUCAGAUCUGACAGAUAAAUAAGACCCCAUAGAUAUGGCUACACGAAUUUUACGAGGGGCAUGGGCUGUGUAUGAACACUAAGGACUCCACAACAGCCCUACUCACAUGAGGAUCACAAGUACCACCUAAAAAAGCACAUGCCUAGGCAAGAGAGAGCAAAAUUUAGAUCUAAUCCAAACAUAGUUCAAGUGCUUGAUCUAAAACAUGUAAAUCCUAGGGCAUGACAAAAUAAACAGCAAAGACUCAUAGGACCUACACUCCCCUCAAAUAUCUCAUUCAUGCCAUCCAAGAACAAGGCACAAUAUCAAAGACAUGGAUCCAAAACCACCAAUGCUCCUAACCCUAGAACAAGAACAUCAACCAAGAGAAGAAGGGGAGGAGCUUUACCGAGAUUCAUGGCCCUUGGAGGAGGAAGGAGAAGUGGAGCAAACCCUCCAAUCCAACGGAGAGAAGGAGCUCCACGAAUAGAGAUCAAAAUAGGGGGAUUUCGGGGUUGGGGAGGGAGGAGCCGCAAGGAUGAAGAAAGAGCCAGGGAAAAACGGGCUCCCCCCUCUUUAUAUAGCCCAAGGGGUACGGGCCAGCGGUAGUACCGCUGUGGACCUGGCGGUAGUACUGCUACCUGGCGGUAGUACCGCUGGGGUCCUGGAGGUAGUACCGCUCCCCUUGAGACAGCCCUAAAAAUUUCCUAGUUAGGUCGUGUUAGAUUGGGAUCCUGGCGGUAGUACCGCUAUCCCUGGCGGUAGUACCGCUAUCCCUGGCGGUAGUACCGCUGGGGUCCUGGCGGUAGUACCGCUACCCCUGGCGGUAGUACCGCUGCAAAUGUCACAACGGGACCUAGGAUAAGAGAAGAACGUGGGCAAAUGACAAGUAAGUGGAAAAGGAAGACAACACCAGAAAUAUAUACUGACUUGUCAUUUUAUAUCCUUUCUUCUAUAUGAGAGAAAGGUGGGGGCGGUGGCCGAGACCACCUAUGUUUGAGACAAAGGUAUGACACCGCGAAGAAUUAUCCUUGGUUUCAUGACCAAUGCUCGUCUUUGAAGCACAAGUGCCAUUUGACAAUGGCUAAAGUGAAAGACUAGAUCGAUUUAUGCAUAAUGGGGGAGGAAAAGUUCAUUGAGAGAACAACACUCCCCCUAUGUCCAUGCCUACAUCUAGACCAAGAUAGAAUGCAUAGUGAGGUGCAACAUGCCUAGUUUCAAUCCACAUUACUUGAAUCAAUGAUAUUUAGCUCAUGCCUUAACUCCCGGUGAAAAGACCUCGAUGACGCCUAGAGGGGGGGUGAAUAGGCUAUUUAAAAACUUCUUCGGAUUUGGCUUGAAACUAAUGCGGAAAUAAACUAAGAGGAUACUUGUCAAGCACAAAUCCUAAAUGCACUAGGCACUGCAACGUGUAUCAACAACACGAUCUACCAAGAUGGACACAAUACAGUUACUAACAAGCACAAGUAAGUUACACAAACUUACUUGAGCUAUAUCACACGACAAGUAGGUGAACAACACAAGAUACUAGAUCACACUAUAUCACACGAUAUAUCAAAGGCUGCAAGUAUGAACGUGUGGAUAUAGAGGGUAUGCUUGAAUGAUUAAUCUUGUACAAGAAAUAGACAACACAAUAUAAUGAGCACAGACAAUAUGCAAUGUAUGUAUGUUCAAGUAACACAAGUAAACCACAAGUAAGGAGUUAGGGUUAAGGAUAACCAAGGUCACUGAGACGAAGAUGUAUCCCGAUGUUCACUUCCUUGGAGGGAAGCUAGUCACCGUUAGAGAGGUGGAUGUUACCACGAAGGCACAGCAACGCCACGAAGGCUCACCCUAUUCUCCCUUUGAGAUAACACCACGAAGGCGUUUCUCAACCACUAGUGGUAAGCCUUUGAGGUGGCUUCCAAACCCUCACAAACUUUUCGGGGGGAAAUCACACGAAUUGAUUCCUCUCCGAAGAACUCCUACCGCCUAGGAGUCUCCAACCUCCAAGAGUAACAAGAUCAUGGGGAAUGCUCAAAACUUGCUCAAAUCACAAAUAGCUUGGGUUGAGAGAAGGAGAGGGAGACGAUCUAUCUUUUGAUUGGAACAAUCUCAAAGGGUUCACAAAUGCUCUUGGGAUCUAAGAUUUGGAGUGAGCAAAUGUGUGUGAGGUGGAAAUGUGUUCUUAUGAGGAUAAGGCUGUGUUAGGCGACCCUCUCACGAAGUGGGAGGGGGGUAUUUAUAGUGAGGAGAGAAAAAGAGCCAUUGGGGACACUUUAAGUCACACAGGGUCCGGACGUCCGACAGUUGUCGGAAGUCCGGGCGUCCGCGAGGGGUCGGACGUCCGACAGGGGUCGGUCGUCCGAGGCAUGUAGAUACGACUGAAACUAUUUUGAAUUAAACAGCGACCGGACGUCCGGAGAGGACCGGAAAUCCGAGUUAUACAACUCAACUUCUACUGGUGGUAGGUUUCGGAUUUCCGACGGGGGUCGGACGUCCGGCCCUCGGACGUCUGGAGGGAGCCGGGAAUCCGAGUUAUAGAGCACAUGUUCUUCUGGUGCAGGGCUCCGGAUUUCCGUAGAUGGUCGGUCGUCCAAUCCUUGACCGGCCCUCGGACAUCCGGAGAGAGCCGGAAGUCCGAGUUAUAUGGCUCAAGUUUCUCUGGUGCAUAGUUCCGGAAUUCCGAAGCUGGUCGGAUAUCCGGGCCUCGGAUGUCCGGAGGGAGCCGGAAGUCCGAGUUAUAUGGCUCUGAUUUCUCUGGUAUAGGAUUUCGGAUUUCAGAAGCAGUCGGUCGUCCGGCCCUCGGACGUCCGGAGAAAGCCGGAUGUCCGAGGCACUAGUUCUGUUUUCAGAUAACAACAAAGCAGUGGAGAUGUGGUCUGAGCAGAAAGUGAAGAUGUAGUUUGAGCAAGUUCAUCGCAAAACAUGUGAUCCCCUCUUAAUAGUGCGGGAUCCCUAAGGACUCAAGAAUCAUAAAAGAGUAGUGAUGAUCCAUACUUGAGUGUAUACUUUUAUUCACUGAUCAUCACUCCGCACCACUAACGUCAAAGGAACUGAUACCUUUGAGUUAGCCCUUUCACCUCAGCUUGAUGUUGUUGUUCCUUCUUGGCUCAAGUUGAAAGCAAGACAUGAUGAAGUCUUCAAGUAGCUUUCCCAUACACAAUGCGGAAAGCCUAGCUUAUGUAUUCAUCUUCAUUUUUCCACCAUGUGAACAUCCACAAGAAUCAAGCAUGUAGUGCUCAGGAAUGCUUAUCUUGAUCUUGUCCUUGUUAGCACAUGAGGUUGUCCUUAUCAACACAUGAUCAUUGACAAUAGUUUCAAUGAUAUAUUCGUGCUGAUCCACUUGAACUUGCACACCACAAUCUUGAUGACGAUCACCACUUGACGUCAUCCUUCAUGGGUUGUAUGAGAUCUUCCUUUUGACGCAAGCCCAAUGGAAGCACACCUAACCCCCACAUAGGAGUCUCACAAAGACCAUGGGUUAGUACACAAACACGUAAUGGACAAUGCUUACCAUACCAUGGAAUCACUUGAUCCCUCUCGGUACAUCUUAUACGCUUUGUGUGUUGAUCAUCUUGAUUUACUCUUUGUCUGAGAUCUUGAUCAACCUAGUGUUUCUAUGACCGUUCUUUGGAUAAUACCUUGAAUAUCACUUGAUCCCUCUCGGUACAUCUUAUACGCUUUGUGUGUUGAUCAUCUUGAUUUACUCUUUGUCUGAGAUCUUGAUCAACCUAGUGUUUCUAUGACCAUUCUUUGGAUAAUACCUUGAAUAACAUCUUGGUCAUCAUAUAAACUCCUUGAACCCAACAGAUGGACUUCAAGAAGUGCCUAUGGACAAAUCCUAUAAAUAUAACUUAAAGCAACCAUUAGUCCAUAGGAAUUGUCAUCAAUUACCAAAACCACAUAUGGAGAUAUAUGCUCUAACACCCGGAACCUUGCUUCAUCUAGAGGCUUAGUGAAAAUAUCUGCAAGUUGCUCUUCAGUGUGGAUGAAGUGAACCUCAAUAUCACCUAGCUUGAUAUGUUCACGAAUGAAGUGAUGACGAAUAUCAAUAUGUUUGGUUUUGCUAUGUUGCACUGGGUUGAGGGAAAUCUUGAUAGCACUUUGAUUGUCACAUAGAAGAGGCACUUUGUCACAAGUGACACCAUAAUCCUUCAAAGUUUGCCUCAUCCAUAGCAAUUUUGCACAACAACUUGCAGCUGCCACAUACUCAGCUUCGGUGGAUGAUAAAGAGACGCAAUUCUGCUUCUUUGACGACCAACUUACCAAUGAGCGACCAAGGAAUUGGCAUCCUCCAUAAGUUGAUUUCCUCUCCACACAAUCUCCUGCCCAAUCUGAGUCAGAAUAGCCAACUAGAUUGAAGUUUGCUCCUUUGGGAUACCAAAAGCCAAAGUUUGGGGUAUGAGCCAAAUAUCGAAAGAUACGCUUAACAGCCAUGUAAUGACUUUCUUUUGGUGCGGAUUGAAACCGUGCACAUAUCCCUACACUCAACAUAAUAUCCGGUCUAGAUGCACAAAGGUAAAGGAGGGAUCCAAUCAUGGAGCGAUAUACCUUUUGAUCCACUGCUUUACCAUUGGGAUCACUGUCAAGCUUGCAUCUUGUUGUCAUGGGGAACUUGACCGGUUUGACAUCUUCGAGCUCGAACCGUUUGAGCAUGUCUUGAGUGUACUUGGCUUGUUUGAUGAAUGUCCCUUCUAGACCUUGUUUAAUCUCGAACCCGAGGAAGAACUUCAACUCUCCCAUCAUGGACAUCUCAAACUUCUCAGUCAUUAGUGCAGCAAAUUCUUCAUUGAAGGAAAUGUUAGGAGAGCCAAAGAUAAUAUCAUCAACAUAUAGUUGGCAUAUGAACAAAUCCCCUUUAACCCUCUUAGUAAAAAGAGUGGGAUCUAUCUUCCCAAUUUCAAACCCACGAUCUUGUAACAACUCAGUAAGAUACUCAUACCACGCACGUGGGGCUUGUUUAAGGAAGGCCAUAGAGUGCCUUAUUAAGUUUGUACACAUGAUUGGGGAGCUUGGGAUGUUCGAAUCCCGGGGGUUGUUUGACAUAGACCAACUCAUUUAAAGGACCAUUAAGAAAGGCACUUUUCACAUCCAUUUGUUGUAAUUUGAAGUUAUGAUGAGAAGCAAAUGCAAGCAACAUGCGAAUAGAUUCUAGACGAGCAACAGGGGCAAAGGUUUCACCGUAGUCGAUACCCUCGACUUGGGAGUAGCCUUGAGCCACCAAUCUUGCCUUGUUUCGAAUCACAAUCCCAUUGGCAUCUUGCUUGUUCUUGAAUAUCCAUUUGGUCCUGAUGACAUUAUGUUCCUCCGUUGGCCUAGGCACUAAGUCCCAGACUUGGUUGCGCUCGAAGUUGUUAAGUUCUUCAUGCAUGGCCAUAAGCGAAUCCUCAUCAUCGAGCGCUUCCUGUACCUGUUGAGGUUCACAAUAUGAAACAAACGCGUGAUGCUCACAAUAAUUCCAAAUUUUUUGACGGGUGGAUACUCCCCUUUUUAAACUGCCAAGUACAUUCUUCAUAAGAUGUGACUUGACUCUCAGCUUGUUCGCAAUCUUGGCUGCUCGACGCUCCAAGAGUUCUUCAUUAGAUAAUGGGGGAGCAUCGACUUGUUUACUUUGCUUGCCCUUGUGUCUUGAGCCGGCUGUCGGUGCUGCAGAAGGGAAUUGUGAGACAGUAUCCUGAUCAUCUUGUCCUUCGACUUGAGCAGGUUCACUAGUUUGUUCUUGUAUUUGUGGUUGCUCUUAAUCUUGACCUUGUGCUUCUACUUGGUCUGGAUCUCGUGGUUGCACUUGAUCUUGAUCAUGAGCAGGUACGUAGUCUUGGGAGAGUGCUUGAAUAUCCUAAGACACAUCAUCAUUGUUGGGCAAUUUAUCUUGACCUUGAGCUUGUUCAUUUUGUUGAGAGUCUUCUCUCUGUUCAUCGGAAGUGUGUGGGGCUUGUGGAGGUGAUGGCUCCACUUGAGUAGAGCAUUGUCCUUCUCCUUCGGCCACAAGGGGUUCCUCAAUGGGGAGUAUUUGACCAAUCCCAUUCUUCUUAUGGCUUGGGGAGGAAUUUCAUCACCUACAUCACAAAGACCACUUUGCUCCACUUGGGAGCCAUUAUUUUCAUCAAACUCCACGUUACACGUCUCCUCAAUGAGUCCAGUGGACUCGUUGAGGACACGGUAAGCAUGAGAGUUUGUAGCAUAACCAACAAAGAUGCCCUCAUGUGCUCUAGAAUCAAAUUUAGCUAAACGUGCACCUUUCUUGAGAAUGAAACACUUACAACCGAAUACCUGGAAGUACUUGAGAUUGGGUUUGUUUCCAGUUAGAAUCUCAUACGGAGUCUUGUUCAAGCCUUUGCGAAUAUAGAGCCGAUUGGAUGCAUGACAUGCUGUGUUGAUGGCCUCUGCCCAGAAGUUAUAUGGAGAUUUGAAUGCUGCCAUCAUUGUCCUUGCAACGUCUAUCAAGGUCCGGUUCUUCCUUUCUACCACGCCGUUUUGUUGAGGGGUAUAUGGUGCAGAAUAUUGGUGUUUUAUUCCCUCAUCACCUAGAAACUCAUCCAAGGUGUAGUUCUUGAACUCGGUGCCGUUGUCACUUCUAAUCAUCAAGAUCUUUGCUUCAUGUUGACGUUGCGCUUCAUUAGCAAAGUUGAUGACAUUUUGUUGAGUUUCAAUCUUCUUUUUAAAGAAAUAUACCCAGGUAUAUCUUGAGUAGUCGUCAACAAUCACCAAGCAAUACUUUCUGCCUCCAAGACUAUCAAAUGAUGGAGGGCCAAACAGAUCCAUAUGGAGAAGCUCCAAUGGCCUCUUAGUGUAGAUAAGAGUCGUUGGACGAUGAGCAGUUUCAUGAAUCUUUCCUUCAAUGCAGGCACUACAAACACGAUCUUUAGCAAAACUCACAUUUGUUAGUCCACGAAUAUGGUCCCCUGUCAGAAGGCUUUGCAAAGAUCUCAUAUUGACAUGAGCUAAACGGCGAUGCCAAAGCGAGCCCACAUCAACUUUAGCCAUUAAACAUGUCGCUGUCUUAGUGGGUCGCUUUGAGAAGUUCACCACAUAAAGACCAUUUUCGACAUAUCCAACAUAGGCUACUUUAAGAGUCUUGCUCCUCAGGAGGACCACAGUAUCAAGAUUAAAGAAUGUGGAAAACCCCAUAAUUACAAGUUGACGAACCGAAAGUAAAUUGUAGGCAAGUGACUCAACAAACAUGACCUUCUCAAUAGAUAAAUCUUGAGAGACGACCACCUUACCAAAUCCCAAUACCUUUGACGAGGAUGCAUCGGCGAAUUGGACAUGGGUGGGCAUAGAUGGAGAGGGAUGCACAUCCACCACUAAAUCCUUGCUUUCGGUCAUAUGAUUUGUUGCUCCACUAUCGAGCAACCAUGACACCCCACCGGAAGCAAACUCCUGCAACAGAUCAAGGCUUGGUUUUAGGUAUCCAUUUUUAAUGGGUCCUUUCAUGUUAGAGACAAGGGUCUUAGGAACCCAGAUAGCCCAUUCAAUAUACUCAUCGUAGGAACCAACAAAUCUGGCAUAAACAUGCCCAUCACUAGCACGACAUAAGACAUAAGAAGAAUUAAGUUUGUCGGCUGUGUUAGUAGGAAUGGUUUUGCCCUUCUUGAGGUUUCCAUAGUCCACCUUGUUCCUGUUCACCUUCUGAGUCCCCUCACCCUCUUUGACAAAGAUGUCCAUGAGGGUAGGAGAUUGUUUGUUCCUGUUCCUCCUUUUACCUUUUGACUUGGAGGAAAGUCCAAGUCCCUCCUUUCCUACAACACCUUUUUGAGUGCUCAAGAGGUCGUUCAGGCUCUUCUCACCUUGUAUGCAUGUCACAAGGCCCUUCUCAAGUCUCUCCUUUAACUUGGCAUUUUCCUCCACAAGAUGUACAUGCUCACAUUCUAGGGAGAGGUAGUGGCAAUAGCAACAGUUGUCAUUGCCACUGUAUCAUCAUCAUCAUCAUCAUCGGAAGGGUACUCUUCAAGGGCCAACAUACCCUUUGGGUGGGGUUUCUUCACAAAGUUGUUCUUGAUUGGGAAUGACUUGGUUUUGUCUUUGCGAAUGAGCUUGCCCCCGUUGUCUUCCCUUUUCUCAUAGGGACAUUCGGCCACAAAGUGACUCACGUUACCACAGUUAUAACAUGUCCUUACUCGUUGUUUGGGUUUGAAUCCACUCGAGUUGUUCUUGGUGAAGGUGGGUCUUGAGUUCCUCUUGUUGCCCCAGAAUUGCCUUGAUGCAAGAGCCAUGUGCUCAUGAUAGGCAUACUUUGUGUCUUCAGGGCAGCCCUCCUCUUCCUCAUCCUCUUCUUCUUCUUCAAGCAUUGCUUUUGCUUUCAACGCAAGGUUGGUUGAAGUUGUCUUUGAGCGAACACGAGAAAGUGCAUUGUCGGCUGUUUCGUUCAUGAUUGACAUUGCAAUGAAUUCAUCCAACACCUCACUGGAAGAAAAGGAGUGGAAGUCUGACCGCUGACGAAUGACAGAUGACAUGGCUUUGUUGAAAGGCAUGAUGGAUUUAAGAAACUUGCGCUUGACCCAUGUAUCAUCCACAUCCUUGCUCCCAUGAUCCUUGAGUGCCACAGCAAUAGCAGUCACCCUCCGAUAGAGAUCACGAGGGUCCUCGUCUUCCUUCAUCACAAACUCAUCGGCCUUAUCAAGUAUCACUUCAUUGUUGGAUCGUUGAAUGCUUGAGCUUCCCUUGUACAACACCAUAAUAUGCUCCCAACAAUCCUUGGCCAAAGUGAAGGGACGCAAGUGAGGAAGAUCUUCAGGUGGCACUGCAGACUGGAGAAUAAACAAAGCGGAGUGAUUGUAUUGAUUGUCUGCAUCUUCUCUUGGAGUGAGGUUGCUUGGAUCAUGGGGAUAAUAUCCUUGCUCGUUGAUUCUCCACAAGUUUGUUGAGCUGUGAUUCAAAUGAGACUUAAUAGAAAAUACCCAGUUAGCAAAGUCACCUUUUACAAGCUUAGGAGGAGGACCAACAGGAUUAAGACGUGGUGCGGGAACGGAUCCUCCAUAGACCAUGGGGGGUGGAACUGAGGCAUAUGUUCCAGUCCCAUCCUUUUCGUGAGAUGAGGAAGGUCACAAACCUUUAGCCGCUUCCUUAGAGGAGUUGGCCUCCGAAUCGGUGACGGUGGGUUUAACCACUAUAGCCGGUUCGGGUGGACUUUUAAAUCCCUCAAUUAACUCUUUAAGCAUGGUCUUGACUUCGUUCGUCAAGGACGUCUUGAGGGCAGCCAUAGCUGUAUUCAAGUCGUCCCUUCUGACCGAAGUCAAGUCCAUGGCCUCGGGUUGCCCAUGGUUAAUUCCCUCUUCGUCUUCCAUACUCUUCGGGUGGUUAAACCCUUAAUAAAGAGACGUGGCUCUGAUACCAAUUGAAAGGAUCGAUAUGGUUGACUAGAGGGGGGGUGAAUAGACAACGACCACUUUUUAAUUAAACUUAGCAAGUUAGGGUAAACAACAUAUGGGUUCAAAAAUAUUAUGACAAUGAGGUGAACCCUAAUGAAGCUAACAACGAGAGCUACUAAGACAAGGAAGAUGUAGACAACAACAUAAGCAUACACAAAGUAAAGGUUAGAGAUAACCACAAGUGGAACCGAUGGAGACGAGGAUGUGUAACCGAAGUUCCUUCCCUUUGACAGGAAGUACGUCUCCGUUGGAGCGGUGUGGAGGCACAAUGCUCCCCAAUAAGCCACUAAGGCCAACGUAUUCUCCUCACGCCCUCGCACGAUGCAAGGUACCGUGAUUCCACUAUAGGUGCCCUUGAAGGCGGCGACCGAACCUUUAUAAACAAGGUUUGGGCAAACUCCACACAAAGCUUGGAGGCUCCCAACAAGACCACGAAGCUUCACCACAAUUGAAUAUGGCUUCGAGGUGACCUCAACUGUCUAGGAUGCUCAAACACCCAAGAGUAACAAGAUCCGCAAGGGAUUGGUGGGGGAAUCAACUUUUCUCUUGGUGGAAGUGUGGAUCUAGGCCUUCUCAACCAAUCCCUAAAGAAUCAACAAGUUUGAUUGGCUAGGGAGAGAGAUCGGGCACUUUUGAGCAUAGGGAGCAACAAUGGAGCUUGGGAGGAUGAGAGAUGAGGUUCCACAGCUAGAAGAACCCUUUAUAUAGUGGGGGGAAAAACCAACCGUUUUCCCACUCACAACCCGUGUCUAGCGGUACUACCGCUGGCACUCCAGCGGUACUACCGCUGGGCCCCUGGUAGUGCAAGCACUACCACCGCCAAGAAAGUUUUCGCAAAAAGGUCCGUCCACGCACAACCGCUAGGCAGGCGGUACAAAGCUCCUGGAGCGGUACUACCGCUGACCAGGGGCGGUACUACCGCCAGCUAGCGGUACUACCGCUGGCUGCAGCGAUACUAUCGCUAGCACUCCAGCGGUACUACCGCUGGGGGGCCAUUUGCAAAGAAGAAGGAAACACAAAGGCGAGAGCCACUCCAAAGUUGCCGGCAAGGGGAAAAUAUGUGAAGUGUGCGUGUGCAAAGAUUGAUUCCACCCAAACCUUUCCACUACGGUUCCCCUCUUAAUAGUACGGCUUUCCUAUGACUCAAAUAAAGAGAAUCGUAGAGAACGCACGGCUUCUGUUCCACGAACGAGGAGGCGAGUCGUCUUGUGCCGUUUACGUGUGUUAUCUGAAAUCUUAACACACACGGUUAGUCCUUUGCGGUACUGUCAUCAAUCACCAAAAUUACUUAGGCAUAAACUAUGCCCCAACACAAGAGUGCAAUUUUGGUGCUCAAUAUACCAUUACAACCAAGUACAUUGCAUGAUUGCCUUCUAUAUAUAUUCGCAUUCCAUAGAAAAUAUAUAAUCAUAUGUACUAUAUUCCAUAUAGAAUCCAACAUCCACUCUAACCUCUUGGAAAAAAUCCUUUGUUUUUCAUGGGAUGUAACCAAACAAACUCAAAAUCAUAUGUUUCUUCUAUUCCUGAUUUUGUUCGCAAUCUUGUAAAUCAAAGAGUUUCUUAAAGGGAAAUCGAACCUAAGAAAAAGGCAAGCAUGGGAACAAAAGAACAUCGUUGUACCAUUUGGACCAUCACAAUGUUGAAUUUGUUUUUCCAGGAAACUAUGAGAUUGGGCCAUGGUGCCGCCGCGCUCGGGCACGACGAGGGGCCGGGUCAUUUAGAUCGAGGAGGGAAGGAUAGGCCUGUGGAGAUCACCAUGGGAGGAGGGCCGGGGCAUAGCGGGGGCUCUUCAGCGGGCAGGAGGGGCUCAUGGAGGAGGUACGAGUGGCCGGUGUCGGGGGCAGCGACGACGAGGACGACUUCGAGGGCGGCGGCGAGCUCUGACAGCCUCGCGGCGUCGGAAGCAGGGCAUUGGCGUCAGGGGGAUCGAAUGGGAGAGAUCGGUGCCGAAAAACGGGCACGGAUUAUAUGAAGAGACCUUUAGUUCCGGUUACAGCUACGAACCAGGACUAAAGGAUCUUUAGUCCCGGUAGGCGGCCCCAACCGGGACUAACGGUGUCGUGGCGCCUCGUCCACUGAUACGCGCCAAACGUAUCUAUAAUUUCUGCGUGUUUCAUGAUCUUUUGGGUGACAUUGUUAUAUAUUUUGCUACAAUUUUUUAUCAUUUUACACAUAUUAGGACUAACCUACUAACUCAGUUCACCCAGUGCCAGUUUGUGUCUGCCGAUGUCUAUUUUGCACGGGCUUUUACCCAAUUUUCCGAAGCCCGAAAAAUUCCAAGAAAAAUAUAUAAAAAAUCAGUGUAACGGAAGCUUCCAGAUCACCGAAGAUGGGCCACAGGGGGCCCAGGGGCCUCCCAGGCGACCUGUGGGCGCGGUCUGGCCCUAGGCCGCACCAAGAGGCCGUCUGGGUGGGUCCCACCUCUUGGUGCUUGUCUUUUACUAUCCUUGAGAUACGGUGUGGAGAUUGUGGUACUCUCUUUGGAUGGCCGCAGUGAGAUUGGGAAAUCCAAAGAUGAGAACUACGAACUCUGAGGUGUGCUUUUGUAGCCCUACGUAAUUCUCGUCCUCUCUUGAUCACAAAGGAAUGACCUCCGAGUACGUCACUAUUGCAUGUUUUAGUGAAAAUAUCAUGUGAUUAGACUAUGUUAAUGUUGUUGGGAGUUGCCACUAGUGAAAGUAUGAAGCCUCAGCCUUGUUUCUCACCAUUGUUACACCGUUUAUGCUCACUUUUGUUACUUGCUACCUUGCUGCCAUUUUUAUUUCAGAUUUAUAUUACCUUGCUUUGCCACUCCUAUCACCCAUAUUUUACCAUCUCUUCGCCGAACUAGUGCACCUAUACAACUGACAAUUGUAUUAGGUGUGUUGGGGACACAAGAGACUUCUCGUAUCUUAAUUGCAGGGUUGCUUGAGAGAGACCAUCUUCAACAUCUACUUCUGUGAGUUCGAUAAACCUUAGGUCAUCCACUUGAGGGAAAUUGAUGCUGUCCUACAAACCACUGCGCUUGGAGGCCCAACAUAUUCCACAAGAAUAGAAGCGUGCAUAGACAUCAAGCUAUUUCUGGCGCCGUUGCAUGGGAGGUGCGUGCUUGAAGGUAUACCUUUAGAUCUUGUAAUUAAAUGUUUUCGUUUCUUGUUUUUAUUUUUCACUAGUUAGGCUUAUGGACAACUUUGCUCUUGGUUUGUUGCUUGUGGGGAACCGCUCCACCGCUAUUGUUCUGGAGAAGCCUCCCCACCUACGGAAAUUGUGCCCUUUAGAAUACCAACUGGUAUUAUUGAUCGUGUCUUGGCUAAUCGAUAUGUACGAGAUAGACAUCCAGGCGAACACUUGCUAUAUCUUUCAUAACUAUGCUCCUUAUUUAAGCUUGCAGGUAUAUCGAUGGAUUUUUUAUGAGAAAUCUAUUCUCUCUAUCAUUAAAAGAUAAGGCUUUGGAUUGGUAUAGGCUUCUUGAUAACUCUCAUUUGCUAAAUUGGCAAGAUCUUAAACCUCUCUUUUAUGCAAAGUUUUAUCCUCUUCAUGAAAUACAUCGAGACAGGAACUAUAUUUAUAACUUUUGGUCUCGUGACGGAGAAAGCAUAGCUCAAGCUUGGGGGAGAUUGAAGUCCCUAAUGCUCAAAUGUCCCAAUCAUGAGCUCCCCAAGAAAAUCACUCUUACAAAUUUUUAUGCAAGGCUUUCUCGUCAAGAUAAAGAGAUGCUCGAUGCUUCCUCUAUGGAUUCUUUCACAAACGGAAGGAUUGAUGCUAAAUGGGAACUCCUUGAAAGUAUUCAAUGCAAUACUGAAGAUUGGGAGGUAGACAAAGGUCAAGAGUCAGGUAUAAAUUUUGAGUAUGAUUGCAUUAAAUCCUUUGUUGAAACUGCAAGUUUUAAUAUGUUUAGUGCUAAGUUUGGGCUUGAUUAUCAACUCCUUGUUGAUUUCCUCAAAUCUUUUGCUUCACAUCUUCAUAUGCCUAAGGAGAAUUGGAUCAAGCAUCAUCAACCUUUUUAAAGAUUUGCAAAGGAAAUGAAAUUGUUAAUGAUAUUUGCAACAUGCAUGAUCCAAUUCCUGAAAAUGAAGUUUUAUAUAAGCAUGUUAAUUUUUGUGGAGUGGAUAGACCUUGUGAAAGGCCUAUGAUAGAAGAAGAGAAGUAUGGUAAGCAACAUAAGCAUGAAAGAACAAUCACUUGGGUUAGAGAUUUAAAUGAAAUUGAUAGAGAAUUGUGUGACCUUUAUCCUUUUACUUGUGAACUUUCUGGUACAGAGGGUCACUUUAAUUUUCACUGCAUGAAUUUUCAAAACAUAACUGUUAACCAGUUGUGUGAUAACAUGAUCACUUCUGAUCUUUAUGAUGAACUUAUGUUAUUUUUGAUAUAUGAAAAGUUAUCAGAAAAACCUUCUUGGCUAGAUGAUAAUGCCUUAGGAAUAAACAACACUUUGCAAAAACGCCAUCUCUGUUGUGUUGUUAAUUGCCAUGAAAAUGAUUACAUACGUAAGAUUAGAAAGGAGGGAACUUUACCAAAGCAUAAAAAUGCCUCUUAUGUUUCCACUAAUAAAAAGGAGAGUUUCUCCCAAAUUUCCCCUAUUGUUUCUAAUGAUAAACCAGAAUAUUUGGAGAAGCUUCCUCUCCAACCACUCCCUCCUAAGGUGAAGAAGAAUAAAAAGAAGAGGAACAAGAAGGAAUAAGAAUGAGUAUCAACCUAGCCCGAGCAUAUUCCUCGCAUCAACUUUUAUUGUAACAGACAUAAAUUUAUGGAGGAUGGUGAGCUUGAUUGUUAUUAUCUUGAUGAUAAGUCCGUAGGUACUAUUGAAGAUGAUUUUGAUUAUGGUAUGCAUGUUACUUAUUGUGAUGGGGAAGAUGAUGAUAAUGCUACUUAUGAUCUUGAAAAUCUUUUUGGUACCAACUUUGAAAAUGAUGAUAUGGAAAGCUCUAAGCUUGGGGAUGAUAGGAUUGCAAGUCCUUUACCCAUUAGUGAUGUGAUAAUUGAUAAUUCUUUUGCUAGUAAGAAUAAAUACAACAUGUUUACAAAUAUAGUUGCUAGCAAUAAUAAUGCUAUUCUCUACCAUGAUGAUGUUAUAACUCCUAUCUAUAGUGAUUGUAAAGAUAACUAUGACAUAAGGAGAAAUUAUCCAUAUGAAACUUGUCAUAAUCAUGGAGGGAAUUACUCCCUUGCUGAACACCAUCUUCUCAAUACACAAUUAAUCUAUAGUGUUCAGGUUGUUUAUGAUAGUCUUACUCCCACUAUUACCAAUGAGAAAGAUUAUGCUUAUGUGGAGAGUAAGAGUACCUUUUUGCAUGUGGAUCAUGGUAACAAUGAUUUAUAUGAUACUUAUAUUGUUGAGUUUAUUCAUGAUCCCACUGAAAAUUAUUAUGAGAAGGGAACAUAUGCUUAUAUAUAUUUCAAUAAUAUCAAGUUCCCUCUCUUUACGUUGAAGGUUUUGAAGCUGCACUUGUUUUGCCUUCCUAUGCUUAUUGCUUUGUGCUUCAAUGAAUUAUUCUAUUGCAAUAUUCCUAUACAUAGGAAGCAUUUUAGACUUAAAUGUGUUUGGUAUUUGCUUCUUGAUGCUCUCUUUUGUUCUACAACGCUUAUUCCUAUGAGAGCAUCAUUAAAAUCUUAAGCCUAUCUUUAUGGCUAUAAAGAAAGAGCUCUAGGGAGACAACCCUUGUUAUCUUCAAUUUGAGUUUUUCCUUUCAGUUUUAGUGGUAUUGAUGCUUGUUACUACUGUAGCAACAUCACUGUGUCUUUAUUUUUAAGCAUUGUGCUAAGUUAUAGCCUCCGAUUGCAAGAAAGUUGAAAAGUUGUGACAUGCUGUCCAGAAACAGAUUCUGUCUGCUUGACGAACAAAUUCACCAAAAAUCACCAGAUCAUCUUUUUGAUUUGAAUUUUUUUGACAGCUUGCUCUAUAUAAUUGCCUUUAUGGAAUAUGUUCUGAGUUUUUUUAUUUGAGUUGCAGAAGUUCUCCGAAUAAAUUAUUUACUACCUGCUGUUUUGUUUUUCACAGAUUCUGGCAUGUUUUGCGUUUUCAUUGUUUUGCAAAUCCUAAGCUUACUUUUUAUUUGCAAAAACCUUUUGGAAAUCAUGAGAAACUGUAGCUUUUCAUGAAAAUCUUUAUUUCCAGCAGGUAAUGAAUUAUUUUAUUAAGGGAACUAACCACUCUAAUCAGCUUAUGAUGAGUUUCGUAUGAAGGGAGUUUUCAACUAUGCGAUGGGAGAUGAUGAAAGAAGAUACAGGAGUGUCAAGUGCUCAAGCUUGGGGAUGCCCCCAUGCACCCCAAGAAAUAUUCAAGGAGACUCAAGCGUCUAAGCUUGGGGAUGCCUGUUGGGGAUAUUACCUGUNNNNNNNNNNNNNNNNNNNNNNNNNNNNNNNNNNNNNNNNNNNNNNNNNNNNNNNNNNNNNNNNNNNNNNNNNNNNNNNNNNNNNNNNNNNNNNNNNNNNNNNNNNNNNNNNNNNNNNNNNNNNNNNNNNNNNNNNNNNNNNNNNNNNNNNNNNNNNNNNNNNNNNNNNNNNNNNNNNNNNNNNNNNNNNNNNNNNNNNNNNNNNNNNNNNNNNNNNNNNNNNNNNNNNNNNNNNNNNNNNNNNNNNNNNNNNNNNNNNNNNNNNNNNNNNNNNNNNNNNNNNNNNNNNNNNNNNNNNNNNNNNNNNNNNNNNNNNNNNNNNNNNNNNNNNNNNNNNNNNNNNNNNNNNNNNNNNNNNNNNNNNNNNNNNNNNNNNNNNNNNNNNNNNNNNNNNNNNNNNNNNNNNNNNNNNNNNNNNNNNNNNNNNNNNNNNNNNNGUUAGAAAUCAUUGAGUGCGAGGUUCGGCGAGUUACGCCCUCCUUGUAAUCGAAACUACAUCAAUACACACCAAAGAAAGACGUAGGCUUUUUCCUCCUCACGAGGGGCCGAACCUGGGUAAAUCGUCGUGUCUCUCCUGCUUAACCCCUUUGAGUCGCCACCAAGGUGCGAUGGCUCCAGUACUAAGUCCUUUCACGAGGACAUCUGCCGUGAAAAAACCACGACAGUUGGCGCCCACCAUGGGGCCUACGCACGGUGGAGUUGAGUUCUCAAAGGGAGCCCUACUAGGGUUUGGGAGUUACGUGACGGGGCUCAUGACUCGGAGCCGCCGCGGGAUAACCUACAUCGACAACCAGCAAUGGGGACCUGAAGCAGAUUCGGUUGAAUCUGGUUACAGGGUCCCCUUCGGCAAGAUCAACAUCUUCAUCGGCAUGAUUGGAUCAUCCGCGCCUGAGCCGGACAUAUCCACCUACAUCGUCGAGCCGGCCAGGUACGUCCGCCCAGUAAUAACGCCAAAUCUGACUCGCCCGGUCUUUGUGGGGUUCACGCAGGGAUCGGAGGAGCCAGAGCGCUCGGCGACUCAGGAAACUACACCGGUCAACUCUGAUGAUGAAUCAUCCAUGGGCGACUCAGAUUCAAUCCGGUCUCUGCAUGGGGAUUGUCUUGGGGGCUUGUCGCUCGCCAUGGACCCCGAAGUCCUUGACCGAACUCGCCGCCAGAUUGCCAUCUACAUGGCAGGAGCGACUCAGCCCACACAAAACCCUACUGGAGGCGAUGGAACCGGCGAGACGUCCAGGAGCCCGGCCGCAGUCCUGGUGGAUUUAGCGGCGGAGAUCACAAGGCUAAUGGCGACUCCCCUCACACCAGAAAACCAGGAGGAGAUAAACACGGAACUGGCGAAACUCAGAGAGGCAGUGGCAAAGGCUCAUCGGGACGCCGAGAUAGAGUCCGCCAGGAUCGAGACUCGGCAAGCUCAAAUUACGGCCGAAAGGAUGCGUUUAAACACUGACAACUGGCGGCUCGAGAGACAGCAGCGCGCGUCCGAUGCCGUCCAUCAGCGGAGACACCAGGGUCACCUGCCCCAUGAUCUCAACCCGACCCGCCUGUUCGACACUCCACGAACCCCUUGGGCGGGAGCCGCCCCGGGGGGAGGACCGGGCCGCCCGCCUAACCCGCCGGCUCAGCCAGUCGAGGAUCACAUUCCCCGAUUCCGAACGCCUCAAGGCCACUUUUCCAAUCCGGUGGAUAACGUGCUUGCCGCAACUCGCCAUCUGGAGUCUCUUCCGAUUCACGGCAACACCCCUGCUGAGAUAGAAGCAAGGAACCCCAUCGAGAUGUUGAAGACGGCGGUGGUUCAAAACGCCCAGUUCUCACAUAGCCUCGAGAGGUUGCAUUCCACCCCCCAAGCAAGUUACACCAGGAGUCGGCCAGAGGACCAGCCCACCGUAAACAGCGGGUCGCGACACGUCCCACAGGACAACCCGCCUGAACGGAACCCGCCGGGCCGGGAUCACCCAAACGUCCAAAACACCCCGGCCCCCCUCGUCGGGGGCGGAGGGCGAGUAGGAGUACCAUGCUUGGCCCUCGCCCUUUGUAACGAAAGGAUGCCCAAAGACUUUAAGGGGCCAUGAAAGGUGCCGAAUUACACCCCGGACCUUGAGCCGGCAUCAUGGAUCGAGAGUUAUGAGAUCGCCAUGGACAUGCUCGAUGUGAACGAGGCGGUUUGCGCCAGAUAAUUCACAAUGAUGCUCGAGGGGUCAGCACGUACUUGGUUGAAAAACUUACCUCCCAACUCCAUCCAGACUUGGGCCGAGUUAGAAGAGCGUUUCAUCAAAAACUUCCGAGGAACUUGCAAACGUCUGAUGACGAUCGUCGAUCUACAGCAUUGUGUUCAGCGCCCGGAUGAGUCGGCUCACCAUUGGUCACGGCGGGUCGGAGAAAGUAUCCAUUCUUCAGAUGGUAUUACGGCGGCUCAGGCUGUGCUGAUCCUCGAGCAAAAUUGCCAUUAUGAACCCUUGGUGCAAAAAUUGGGGCGACUCAAACGAAAGGUCCAAGACAUGGGAGAACUGAUGGACACCCUCACUAGGUACGCGGAGGCUGAUGACACCAAAGAUCCUGGUGAAGAUGGCAAGGUUAUUCGCGCAAGAAGGGCGAGUCAUCCAAGAAUCAUACCCGAUUUGAGGGACGUAACCGCCAGAAUCAAGGGACUAACGGCAAGCGAAGACCGCAAGAAGAGCCCUCGGACUUGGUCGCCAAUACCAACGCCAACAAUGGCAAGAAGAAAAACAGGGGGUUUAGCGGGAAGAGGCCGCGUAACUACGAAGAGCUACUCAAAGGCCCUUGCCCGCACCACGCCACGGCAGACGGUCCGGCGACUCAUUCUUGGGAAAACUGCUUCGUGAUGCGAGAGUUUCGGGCGGAGGCGAUCAAGAAGAGUCAAAACGAUGACCCGGACCAGCGCCAGGAGCAAUUCGCCGCACCCAACCAAAGACAGAACCCUUUCGGUGGUUUUCCCAAACAGGGGGCUCAGGGAGGCCCAUAGCCAGGUGGCGGCCAAUACCCGGUGCACCACCAGCGGUGGUAUAACCCGCCAGGAGCCUUCCAGCAGCCACCCCCACAGGGGGCUCCGCAGGGUCAGGAUGAUAAUGGGGGCUUCCGCAGCAACCCCAAACAGUUAAGUAAUGGGCAGUAUCAUGUUUUCACCACUAAUACUUGCAGGCAUGAUAAGAAGGUGAGUCACCGGGCGUACAGUGUAUCUGAACCGGCGCUUCCCAGAUACCUCCAUUGGUCUGAGCAAACCAUAACGUGGAGCAGGGAGGAUCACCCGCCGAGAGUUGAUAACCCGGGCGAUCUGGCGUUGGUCGUGGCUCCCCAAGUUGGGGGUUACACCCUGUCAAAAGUGCUAAUGGAUGGUGGCAGCAGCAUCAAUAUCCUAUACUUUGACACUUUCCAAAGGAUGAAUCUAUUGGAAAAAAACCUGAUGCCUUCAACCACGGUUUUCCACGGAAUUGUCCCAUGCAAGUUGGCUUAUCCCAUAGGCCGGGUCAGGCUCAUAGUGGCGUUUGGAACUGCGCAGAAUUAUAGGUCGGAGUCACUGAUCUUCGAGGUGGUCAAAUUGAAAAGCCCCUACCAUGCGCUGUUUGGGCGCCCGGCUUACGCGCACUUCAUGGCUCGCCCGUGCUAUGUCUACCUCAAGCUCAAAAUGCCUGGUCCCAAAGGACCCAUCACGGUUGAUGGAGAUAGAAGGAUUGCAAAGGAGUGUGAAGAAGGGGAGCGGCUUAUGCGGAAGUCGCCUGUGCUGCGGAAGAGCUCAAACACCAUCGGGCCAAUGUUGACCCGGCGGAUAUGUCACCCGUGAAGAAACCGACUACAGAUUCUGAGUCGCCCCUCAAGUUCAAACCAACGGAUGACACUAAGACAAUCGAUUUCUUGCCUGGCGAUUCAUCCAAGAAGUUCACCAUUGGGAUGGGUCUGGACCCCAAAUAGGAAAGCGCGCUCAUCGAAUUCAUUCGUGAGAAUCGGGACAUCUUUGCAUGGAAACCUUCUGACAUGCCUGGUGUGCCGAGAGAAUUCGCUGAGCACCAUCUUAAUAUUUACCCAAAGUGCAAACCCAUCCAGCAGUACCUUCGCAGAUUUAACGAGGAGCGACGCAAGGUGAUUGGGGAAGAAGUUGCCCGUCUUUUAGCCGCCGGGUUCAUCGUGGAAGUUUUUCACCCCAAAUGGCUGGCUAACCCGGUUUUGGUACUCAAGAAGAAUGGUACUUUUCGUAUGUGUAUUGACUACACAGACCUCAACAGAGCUUGUCCAAAAGAUCCCUUCGCUCUUCCCCGCAUCGACCAAAUCAUUGACUCGGUGGCGGGAUGCGAACGAUUGUGCCUUCUGGACGCCUAUUCAGGAUAUCACCAAAUCAAGAUGGCCGUGGAGGAUCAAGAGAAAACAGCCUUUAUAACCCCCUUCGGGGCCUUUUGUUAUGUGUCCAUGCCCUUUGACCUCAAGAGUGCGGGGGCGACUUAUCAACGCUGCAUCCAGAAUUGCCUCCGUAACCAAAUUGGUCGCAACGUCCAUGCCUAUGUCGACGAUAUUGUGAUCAAGACCCGCCAGGGGGAGACGCUACUGGAGGAUCUCAAGGAAACGUUUGAUAAUCUACGGGUAUAUCAGAUGAAGCUAAAUCCCACCAAGUGUGUUCUUGGUGUGCCUGCAGGGAAAUUGCUGGGUUUCCUGGUAUCGGAGUGCGGCAUUGAAGCUAACCAGGACAAGAUCGAAGCGGUUACAUUCCUUGGAAAGCCGGCGAACGUUAAUCAAGUUCAACGACUGGCGGGUCGCAUUGCGGCCCUAAGUCGUUUUUUGUGAGUCGCCUAGGGGAGAAGGCGAUCCCUCUUUUUCAGUUAUUGAGGAAAUCCGAUCGGUUUGUUUGGACAAAUGAGGCAGACGAGGCGCUCGGAACCCUGAAACGCCAAUUGGUUAACCCGCCGGUCCUGGCCGCCCCAACUGAAAAGGAGCCCAUGCUUCUGUAUAUCACGGCAAAUUCCAAAGCAGUAAGUGUGGCAGUGAUCGUUGAGAGAAAGGAGGAAGGGAAGGUAUACCCAGUGCAGCGCCCGGUAUAUUUUAUCAGCGAGGUGCUAACUCUUUCCAAGCAGCGGUACCCACACUGGCAGAAGUUGGUAUAUGGGGUGUUUAUGGCGAGUCGAAAACUUAAGCAUUAUUUCCAAGAACACCCUAUCACAGUGGUUAGCUCUGCCCCCCUUGGGGACAUCAUCCAGAAUCGGGAGGCAACAGGGCGAAUCGCCAAGUGGGCAAUAGAACUUGGGCCCCAUCACAUACAGUAUACUCCCCGCACAGCCAUCAAGUCCCAGGCCUUAGUUGGUUUCGUCAACGACUGGACGGAGUUACAGGCUCCGGAAGACCGGCCUGAUCUCACUUACUGGACUAUUUAUUUUGAUGGGUCUAGGCAGCUGGAAGGCUCGGGGGCUGGUGUGGUGUUGGUAUCCCCUCAAGGAGAUAAGUUCUGUUACGUUCUCCGACUCAUGUUUCCGUGCACUAACAAUGCGGCGGAAUACGAAGCUGUGCUUCACGGCUUGCGACUCGCCAAGGAGAUGAAUCUAACACGAGUCAGAUGCAUUGGCGACUCUGAUUUGGUGGCACAGCAAGUUUCAGGUACCUGGGAUUCUCGGGACCCCAUGAUGGCGGCUUACAGGCGAGCUGUGUCUGAUGUGGCGGGUCAGUUUCACGGUUAUCAGGUGGACCAUAUUGAUCGACGCCUCAACGAGGCAGCUGACGCCCUCUCACGACUUGGCUCCCAGAGAAAGCCGGUUCCUCCUAAUGUUUUUUCUGGAUAUCUUACAUAAACCGUCCGUGAUUCUACCAUCAGAGGAGGAAUUGGCAAUACCAGAUCCUGAUUCUCAGCUCGUGGCGGCUCUCCAUGUCACUCCGGAUUGGGUUCUUCCUUAUCUGGCUUAUCUCGCUCGAGGCGAGUUACCAGCAGACGAAGUUCUGGCUCGCCAAAUUGAUCGACGCAGCAAAUCCAUGGUCAUCAUCAAUGGCGAGUUAUAUAAGCGGAGCGCCUCUGGAGUUUUUUAGCGAUGCGUUUCCUCCGAAGAAGGAUGCAUAAUCUUAAAUGACAUUCAUUCCGGAGAUUGUGGGCAUCAUGUCGGGUCACGCUCUUUGGUAUCAAAGGCUUUCCCUCAUGGUUUCUUUUGGCUGACGGCUCAUGCAGACGCGGAAGAUAUAGUUCGUCGGUGCGAAGGAUGCCAAUGUUAUGGGCGGCAGGCUCAUGUGCCGGCUCAAGAAUUAAGAAUGAUCCCCAUCACUUGGCCUUUUGCAGUCUGGGGGCUAGACAUGGUCGGCCCCUUUAAAAUGUCCUCUAACAAGAAGACCCAUUUGCUGGUGGUGGUUGAUUAGUUCACCAAGUGGGUUGAGGCAGAACCUAUUGGAGCUUGCGAUGCGGAAACAGCGGUCAAAUUCUUGAAAAAGUUAAUUUUCCGGUUCGGAUACCCGCACAGUAUCAUUACUCAUAAUGGUACUAAUUUGUCCAAAGGGGCGAUGCAGGAGUUUUGUCGUCGAGAACAUAUCUGACUUGAUGUUUCUGUGGUGGCUCACCCGCAAUCUAACGGGCAGGCAGAACGGGCGAAUCAGGAGGUUUUGCGAGGGAUUAAGCCCCGACUCAUGGUUCCCCUGGAAAAAAACCCCAGGGUGUUGGGUUGAAGAAUUGCCUUCAGUAUCGUGGAGUAUCUCAACCACCCCGAACCGGUCCACGGGUUUCACCCCUUUCUUCCUGGUCUACGGAGCAGAGGCUGUUCUUCCUACUGAUAUAAGGCAUGAUUCCCUUAGAGUCGCCGCAUAUGUUGAACAAGACAAUGAGUUGGCGCGUCAAGACUCUUUGGACGCCUUAGAAGAGGCACAUGACCUAGCUGCGGCUCGGUCAGCUAUCUAUCAACAGGAUCUACGGCGUUAUCACAACCGCCGGGUUAAAAGUCGGACCUUUCAGGAAGGCGACUUGGUUCUUCAGUUGAUACAAGAUCGUGCAGGCAUGCAUAAGUUGUCACCACCUUGGGAAGGGCCGUUCGUCGUCAGUAAAAAUCUCCGCAAUGGCUCUUAUUAUUUGGUGGAUCUCCGGCCUAACCGGCAAACCACGGAGGCUGAGUCAAUUCGCCCCUCGAAUAUUGCCCACCUGCGGCCUUAUUACACUUGAGCUCUUAAGCUCUACAUUUUGUAAGUUUUUCAGUUUUAUUAUAAAGCAAUAAAGUUGAGUAUACUCCCUGACUUGGGGGCUUCUUCAUUAAAAGAACAAUUUUUGUCAUCCUGUUGCGACCUUAUGAGCCGACAGAAUCAUCAUUUUAGGGUGUGUGCUCGAGCUUUCUAACUCGCCUCAUCGUGUCGCGACCUUAUGAGCCGACAGAAUCACCCUAAAACCUGCAUUUUAGGGUGUGUGCUCGAGCUUUCUCACUCGCCUCAUCGUGUUGCGACCUUAUGAGCCNACCUUAUGAGCCGACGAAAUUGCUGCUUUUAUUCAUGGAUAGCCUUAAGGGUUUUUUACCUUUCUUUCUGAUCCCUCUGGGAAAUACUUGUUAUCACUUAUUUUGUUUCACAUAUGUUGUUUUCAAAGCCUAAGUCAGGUUGAUGAUCAGAAUUACUUCAUCCGUGGCGGGUUAAGCAUCAUAAAGAAGUCUCAAAUAUUUCAAAUCGCCUUAUGGGCGAUAUAAAGAUUCUUUCAAAGAGUAUCACAGAAGCAGUAUCGACUUAUGAAAAAUACCUAUUACAUGUCUCUCAGGCCAAAUUGAUGAGGUUUAUUCUGUUGGCGCCUUAGGAUCACUUUGUUGCGAGCUUUGGCCGACCUCAAUUUGCAAGUUGCCCAAUACCCAGUUGCACUUAGCCAGAGCUGCGAAGUCAUCUUCAUGAGUCAGGAUUGAUGCCAAGUCAGCUUCCAAGUCGAAAGGGUUCUUGGGUCGCCGAGGAGUUAAAUUGGUCGUCACAAAGGUUGGCGGGUUGACCUUUUUGUUUUUGCUGUCAUAAGCCGCCUGAUACUUUGCUAAAUCAAGACUUGCUGCCAGUCGGGAAUCCUUGACAACGCGUUAAUAGUCCUCUUCAACGAAUUCUGACCCGUCGUCUUUGAGUUGAGGGAAGCCUGCCGCUACCUCUUCCGGGUUGAUCUCUGGGGCAUACGCCAAGCAGCGACUCAAGGCAGUGAGAACACCCUUCCGGGCGGCUGACCUAGUUAGCUCGCCAAUCUGAGGAGGAAGUGUUGAUAGGAAGCCAAGCACUUUCUUUAUGGAAGUUAUAUGCUCUUUGGCGCCCAUCACAGCCUUGACAGUUAAGACACUGCCGGUGUACAGUUGCUCUGUCAGCGUGUAAAUCGCCUUCAGCAUCAGCACGCAUCUUCCUGAAGGUUGGCGGCUCUUGGACCUGAGUAAGGGGUCAUGAUAAUCAGCGACUUAUGAUAAGAGUUAUUUAGAAAGGAAAAAGGGGGAUGAAAAGACCAAAAGUUUGAGUAAGUUUACCAAAGACGGCUUGCGUCAUGUUUGAGAUAUGACGCUUUAAGCCGGACAAUUCUUGUUGCACAGAGGCCAGCCUGGCUUCAGCUUUCUCUGCCCUUUUUAUGGUAGCCUCUUGGUCAGCUUGAGCUCUUUUCAAAUCGACUUUGAGUUUCUCCAGCUCAGCCAAGGCCAAUUGAUAUUUCUCCUCCGACUUAGCUCGGGCAUCUUGCUGAUCAGAUAAGUUUUUCUUUAACUCGCCAAGCGCCGAUUCAGUCUAAGAUAGACUUUCCUGUUGAAAGUACAAAACACGGGCAAGUGUCAGAACUAUUGCAAGCAAUAUCCCUAACACUUGGGGGCUAAUGUAUAUUUUUUUUCUUUUCAGAUGAAAUUAUACAAUAUCAAGACCCGGUUCAUCUUUUUAUUGAUGACCCGGCCCUUGGGGUUACUGCUCGCAAAGUUUUUCUAAAUUUUUCAGGACCCGGCUCAUCUUUUUACUGAUGACCCUGCCCUUGGGGGUUACUGGUUGCAAAGUUUUUCUAAAUUUUUCAAGACCCGGCUCAUCUUUUUACUGAUGACCCGGCCCUUGGGCGUUACUGGUCGCAAAGUUUUUUCUAAAUUUUUCAAGACCCGGCUCAUCUUUUUACUGAUGACCCGGCCCUUGGGGGUUACUGGUCGCAAAGUUUUUUCUAAAUUUUUCAAGACCCGACACAUCUUUUUACUGAUGACCCGGCCCUUGGGGGUUACUGGUCGCAAAGUUUUUUCUAACUUUUUUCAAGACCCAGCUCAUCUUUUUACUGAUGACCCGGCCCUUGGGGGUUAAUGGGAGUAAUACAAUAUAACAAAUUUACCUCAUGUUUGUUUUUUAAUAUCCGCAGCAGGCUUUUCUCCAUCUCAUAGCUCGCCUCCAGGCGACUCGCAAAACCAGAGCAGAGUUCCUUGAACUCCAGAUUUUCAUAUUCAGAAAGCUUCGCCUUGGAGAGUCCAGAUUCGGGAAUGGCUUGAGAGGAGGAUGCCACAUGCCUUGACAAAACCGUUGUCGCCGGCUUAGAUAAGCCAGUACCAGUAAAACUACAGCAUCCGGGUCUUCUGUUGUCAUCAAUGGGCUUGGCGACUUACGGGCAUCCAUUGCUUCCUUGGGCGAGUCUGGAAGAUCCAUUUGAUUUUCAGGCUCGCCUUGGUCCAGGUUGUCCUGAAUCGGCAUUGAUUCUUUGAUGGAAUCUGAAGUUGUGACAGGAGUUGAUCCGCUGGUUUUCCUUUUCUUGGCCUGUGCCCUAAAAGAAGGGAGAAGUUCAUUAAGGAACUGGAAGUCUAUUACCCUCAGAAUUCAAAGUAAGAUUAUCAAAAGACUUACCCAGGAACACGAAUCAUUGGCGGAAGUGUCGACAUCACUGAGUCGCCAGAUGUCGGAGGAGAGUUCUGCAAGAAUUAUACGUCAAAGAUAUAGGUGGGUUACAGAUGUGAUCCAAAGAAACAUGAUGAAUUGUUAUUCAUUUGGUUUCCUUUUGUUCGUUGCUGGUAAGCCGGACACCAGAUCACCGGAAUGACUUCGGGUCUUCCGAUUUGAAGUAUGUUGUGCUUUCUUUAGUAGGAAAUUUGGGUCCAAACAAGCAUUUGGGUGUGAGAAGAGAACUUUCCCACAAACUCGCCUGGCCGGCUUAGGUUGAGAAGGAGAUGAAUCGGAGGAAACAGAAAUUACCUCAACAGAGUCCUCCUGGCUUUCGUUAUCUUCAUUCUAUUUCAAGAGAGACAGAGAUAUAAAUACAAAGAUUAACAGUAGUGGAUGGCAAGUGAAAAGAGGAUUAACUUUUACCUCCGAAAGUGCAUCGCCGGCUUGAGAUUCAUCGACUUCGGAUGGCUCAGCCGCAGCAGCUUUGCCCUUACCCUUGGUUUUCUUUGAAGGCGGCUUAACAUUUUUCAUGGCUGGCCUCUUGGGCUUCCUGGACCAAAACUUAUCGCCUUUCUGAAAUAGCAUGUGUUACAAAAACCACAAUACAAAUGAAGCAUAAGAAGUAAAGGCCAAAUGCGGGUUAGAUUUGUUCACCUUGGGCGCCGGGUUAAUUUUGCAGAAAGGCUUGAGGCCGAUUUGGCCGCAUUUUCCCGCAGGCUCACCAGUCAGCUUCUUGAUAAUGGUGACGAUGUCCUUUUUUGUUAAAGCCGUAUGGAGAUAACAUUGAGGAUGAUCUAGGGUGCCAUCAAAUUCGCACAUCAGACCGUCCCGGCGACUCAGAGGGAGAAUACGCCAUUCGACCCAUCAGCGGAUUAGGUCAAUCCCAGUAAGACCGUUGUUUGUCAAGGAUCUUAACUCGGACAGUACUGGGAUGAAUUCUGAUUCCUCUUCCUCGGCAAGCUUGUCUCGAAGCUUGAAGUUCGUUGGAAGGCGGUUUUUCCUGUAGCCCAAAAGCUUGUUUUCUCCUGUAGGAGAAGUCUCUUGAUAGUAGAACCAAGACUCGCGCCAACCUUUGGGAUGGUUGGGCAUGGCGAGUGAGGGAAAUGGGAUAUCCCUGCAGCGCUGGACAUUGACACCGCCGAGUUCCAGGCUGGGGCCGUUGUGAAAUUCCGUUUGGCGAUUCAGAUGGAAAAAGUGCCAGAAUAAGGGGAGAGAGGGCUCAAUCCGCAGAUAAGCCUCACAGAACACUUGGAAUUGGCAUAAUUUACUUAUGGAAUUAGGUCCCAAAUCCUGGAGGCGGACGUUCAUGAAAGCCAUGGCAUCUCUAAGAAACUUCGAUCCGGGCGGCUUAAAACCUCGCUCCAAGUGUUCAACGAAAACGACUAUUUCCCCUUCUUUGGGGUUGGGCAGAUCUUCUCAGAACCCGGUAUGCCAGCCGAUAACAUUCUAAGGGUCCAAGUUGCCCGUUUUCACAUAGUCUGCUAGUAUGGUGUCAUCGACCUUGGUAGGGAGCCAGUCACUUUUGAAGACGGCGCCCAUGCUACAAAGAAAUAAAGUAUGAAUUUAUACGCCGUGAACAUCUACUAUAAGGGGUGAAAUAAGUUCAUCUAACGCGCCAAGUAGUUUGUUCACGGACUGAGAAGGAAGCUUGACCCGCCAUAUCAAAAAGCCGAGUUGGGUUACUAUGGCGACUUACGGAGUUUGGCUAUUCGCGAGGGCUACGUUCUAAGGAUGAUGGAAACGUUCGUUGAAAAUAUCAAAGUGUGAAGACUACAAACAACUUUCUGCAAACAGUAGGUAAAUGAUGGAUCUGUCAGGCAGGUGAAAAAACGUGAGAAAAAUGGCUGGAUACAGCAAUUUAUUACCGAGGCAAGGUGACGCCCUUCGUUUGAUAAAACAUUAUUCUCAGUUCACAAGUAAGAGCGGGGGAAUAAAGGUAUUCAAAACAUUGGCUAUCUCGUCGACGUUUAUGCUAAUCAGUUUAGGGUAAGCGACACCUACUCACGAAGAACAUCAAGAACAUGACAGUGACUGGAGCUUCAAGUGGAGUUUGGAUCUGUUCCUAAAUAGGCGGAGGCCUAACCUGAUGCUCUCGGUCGAAAGAGGCCGACGGUGACGAAGGUUGUUGGAGAAGCACGGAGGUCCCGUCAAGCGAAGAGAUCUUCGACCGCGGUGGAGCUCGUGGCGAACGGCGAGAUGGUCGACGACGAUGCGACGGUCAAUGGCGGCGGACAGAUUGGCCGCAGUGCGAAGCUUGACGACGACGGAGGCCUAUGAGCGGCGUCAAAACUUCUCGGGCGAAGACGGAGAGUGCGGUCGGCGGCGGAGCCCUCGGGAGGUGACGAGAUUUCCUCGCUGUGAUAAUCGGGAGGAGAUUGAUGAGACUGGUAGGCGGGAAGCGCCAGUCCUGUUCCCCCCCCCCCCCCUCUAUUUAUCAGGGCGGGCGCUGGAAUCGAGGCGCCAUGAGCGGGAACCGCCGGGGAAUAAAAAGAUUCGCUAUAAAGGCGUUCCGAAGAUUUUGGGAUAACGAUGCACUAAGAUCCGUUGGAAUUAUGUCAGUCUUCCCGAAAAUCUAGGGAUAAGAAGAGGCCAACAAGAAAUGGUUCGGCGACUUAAAGAGUUUUUCGGUGCCAGAUCGCAGGUUACAAUUUCUGAUGUAUGAAGAAAAAUGAGGAGUGAAUCGCCUUCAACUAAGUAGAAGUAUUGGCGCGAAUAAGAAAGUUCAAGUCAAACUGGGGCCUAAUGUUGGGGAUAUUACCUGUNNNNNNNNNNNNNNNNNNNNNNNNNNNNNNNNNNNNNNNNNNNNNNNNNNNNNNNNNNNNNNNNNNNNNNNNNNNNNNNNNNNNNNNNNNNNNNNNNNNNNNNNNNNNNNNNNNNNNNNNNNNNNNNNNNNNNNNNNNNNNNNNNNNNNNNNNNNNNNNNNNNNNNNNNNNNNNNNNNNNNNNNNNNNNNNNNNNNNNNNNNNNNNNNNNNNNNNNNNNNNNNNNNNNNNNNNNNNNNNNNNNNNNNNNNNNNNNNNNNNNNNNNNNNNNNNNNNNNNNNNNNNNNNNNNNNNNNNNNNNNNNNNNNNNNNNNNNNNNNNNNNNNNNNNNNNNNNNNNNNNNNNNNNNNNNNNNNNNNNNNNNNNNNNNNNNNNNNNNNNNNNNNNNNNNNNNNNNNNNNNNNNNNNNNNNNNNNNNNNNNNNNNNNNNNNNNNNNNNNNNNNNNNNNNNNNNNNNNNNNNNNNNNNNNNGUUAGAAAUCAUUGAGUGCUAGGUUCGGCGAGUUACGCCCUCCUUGUAAUCGAAACUACAUCAGUACACACCAAAGCAGGACAUAGGCUUUUUCCUCCUCACGAGGGGCCGAACCUGGGUAAAUCGCCGUGUCUCUCCCUCCUAACCCCUUUGAGUCGCCACCAAGGUGUGAUGGCUCCAGUACUAAGUCCUUUCACGAGGACAUCUGCCGUGAAAAAACCACGACAAUGCCCCCGUGCAUCCCCUUCUCUAUCAACAAUCAUCAGUUCGUCCAUCUCCAUGCUAUAUUUUUAUCACUUCAUAUGUUAUGUGCUAUGCUUGGAGCGUUCCGCUAUUUACUUUUUAGUUUGUUUUAGUUUUGCUUGUUGUUCAUAACAAGUCGGAACCUAGCCUACCUUGUUUGGGAGAGAGACACGCUCCAUUCCAUUCUAGAACACAACAUAGGUUUUCAUGCUUAUCUUUUUUGUGUGUUCUUUAUCUUUCCGUAGCCACUGUCAUGCUUAGCUCUUAGUUUUCAUGCUUAUCUUUUUUAGAGCUUUUAUUUAGGUUGCUUGCUACCUUGCUGACAUUUUUAUUUCAGAUUUAUAUUACCUUGCUUUGCCAGUUGCCACACCUAUCACCCAUAUUUUACCAUCUCUUCGCCGAACUAGUGCACCUAUACAACUGAAAAUUGUAUUAGGUGUGUUUGGGACACAAGAGACAUCUUGUAUCUUAAUUGCAGGGUUGCUUGAGAGAGACCAUCUUCAACCUCUAUUUCCCUGAGUUCGAUAAACCUUAGGUCAUCCACUUGAGGGAAAUUGCUGCUGUCCUACAAACCUCUGCGCUUGGCGGCCCAACAUAGUCUACAAGAAUAGAAGCGUGCGUAGACAUCACCCACUCGCAUGCACCUUUAGUCCAGCUCGUAGCCACCAACCAGGACUAAAGGUCUAUUUUUGGUGGCCCAAAUUCCACGCGGGAAGGGACCUUUAGUGUCGUUUGGUGGAUCCAGCCCGGACUAAAGGUCUAUUUUCUCUAUUUUUUUUCUAAACAGGUCAGUUUCUGUUUGUAAAUUUGGAAUAACUGUUAGACUAUUUAUAGUUUUUGAAUGAAUCUUUUCAGUUUAGGUCAAAAAAACUACAAAAUUUCUCUUAGUUCUAGUAGUUUUCAAAUUUACAUUGUUUAAAUUUAAUAUUUUUUGAAUUUUUUGUGAAUCACUAGUUUGUGAAUAACUUUACUUUAAAAAUAGAUUUUUUAGUCAUUCUUUUUAAGAUGUUUAAUAUUAGUUUUUUUAUCUUUAUAUUAAAUUUGGUAAUUUGUAGAUUAUUAAAAAAAUGAAAUGCCUUUGUAAAAUAUGAGUAUUCAUUCGAAACACUAAUACUUCGAAAAAGAUUGCCUAGUUUAUACAUGAAGUCCAUCUAGUUUUGCGGUAACCCUCCCAACUUUUUAGCACAUGCUAUGUGGGUGCAAUGAUGAUACCAUGCCAAGUUUCAGCCUUUUCAGAGUUCAUUUCUAGCGCUUUUCAAUUUCAGGGUUAUUUAGUUCAAAACAAAUCAUUAAAUGCAUGAAAAUAGCAAAUGAGGCCAAAAAGGGUUGAAAAUUCAUGAUGUGGCUUUGAAUGAUGCAUAUUGAGCGCAAAAAAAAAUCUGAAGUUGAAAUAAGUUAAAAAAUGAAAUGCCUUUGUAAGAGAUGAGUAUCGUCUCAAACUGUGAUGUUUCGUAAGAGAUUGUCCAGUUUGUACAUGAAAUGCAUCCAAUUUUUGACGUAACCCUCCCAACUUUUAGCACACGCUAUGUGGGUGAAAUGAUGAUACCAUGCCAAGUUUCAACCUUUUUAGAGUUCAUUUGUAGCGCUUUUCAAUUUCACGGUCGCUUAGCUCAAAACAAAUCAUUUAAUGCAUGAAAAAUAGCAAAUGAGGUCAGAAAGCAUUGAAAAUUGACGACAUGGCUUUGAAUGAUGCAUAUUGAGAGCAAAAAAAGUCUGGAGUUGAAAUAAGCUAAAAAAUGCAAUGCCUUUAUGACAGAUGAGUAUUCGUCCGAAACCCUCAUACUUCGAAAGAGAUUGUCGAGUUUAUACACGAAGUGCAUCCAGUUUUUGUCGUAACGUCCCAACUUUUUAUCACAUGCUAUGUGGGUGAAAUUAUGAUACCAUGCGAAGUUUUAUCCUUUUCAGAGUUCAUUUGUAGCGCUUUUGAAUUUCAGGGUCGUUUACCUCAAAACAAAUCAUUAAAUGCAUGGAAAAUAGCAAAUGGGGUGAGAAAGGGUUGAAAAUUGACGACGUGGAUUUUAAUGAUGCAUAUUGAGUGAAAAAAAGUUUGUUGUUGAAAUAAGUUAAAAAACUGAAAUGCCGUUGUAAGAGAUGAGUAUAUUCAUGCGAAACCGUGAUACUUCGAAAGAUAUUGUCCAAUUUGUACACGAAGUGCAUCCAGUUUUUGUCGUAACCCUCCCAAAUUUUUCAUACAUUUUGUGUGGGUUAAAUGAUGAUACCAUGCACAGUUUCAGCCUUUUCAGAGUUCAUUUGUAGAGCUUUUCAAUUUUAGGAUUGUUUAGCUCAAAACAAAUCAUUAAAUGCAUGACAAAUAGCAAAUGAGGUCAGAAAGGGUUGAAAAUUGAUGACGUGGCGUUGAAUGAUGCAUAUUCAGCGCAAAAAAGCUUAGAGUUGAAAUAAGUUUUAAAAACUGAAAUGCCUUUGUAAGAGAUGAGUAUUCGUCCGAAACUGUGAUACUUCGAAAGAGAUUGUCCAGAUUGUACACGAAGUGCAUCCAGUUUUUGUCGUAACCCUCCCAAAUUUUUAGCGCACAUGCUAUGUGGAUAAAAUGAUGAUACCAUGCCAAGUUUUGGCCUUAUGAGAGUUCAUUUGUAACGCUUUUCAUUUUGAGGGUCGUUUAGCUCAAAACAAAUCAUUAAAUGCAUGAAAAACAGCAAAUGAGGUGAGAAAGGGUUGAAAAUUGAUGACGUGGCUUUGAAUGAUAAAUAUUGAGCGCAAAAAAAUCUGGAGUUGAAAUAAGUUUAAAAAAUGAAAUGCAUUUGUAAGAGAUGAGUAUUCAUCCGAAACCCUCAUACUUCGAAAGAGAUUGUCCAUUUGUACACGAAGUACAUCCAGUUUUUUCCGUAACCCUGCCAAGUUCUUAGCACAUGCUAUGUGGGUGAAGUUAUGAUACCAUGCCAAGUUUCGUCCUUUUCAGAGUUCAUUUGUAGCGCUUUUCAAAUUCAAGCUUGUUUAGCUAAAAACAAAUCAUUAAAUGCAUGAAAAAUAGCAAAUGAGAUUAUAAAGGGUUGAAAAUUGAUGACGUGGCUUCAAAUGAUGCAUACUGAGUGCAAAAAAGUCUGGAGUUGAAAUAAAUUUUUAAAAAUGAAAUCCCUUUUAAGAGACGAGUAUUCGUCCGAAACGUGAUACUUCGAAAGUGAUUAUCCGGUUUGUAGACAAAGUGCAUCCAUUGUUUGAUGUAACCCUCCCAACUUUUUAGCACAUGCUAUGUGGGUGAAAUGAUGAUACCAUGCCAAGUUUCAACCCUUUCAGAGUUCAUUUUUAGCGCUUUUCAAUUUGAGGGUCGUUUAGCUCAAAACUAAUCAUUAAAUGCAUGAAAAAUAGAAAAUGAGGUUAGAAAGCGUUGAAAAUUGUUGACUUGGCUCUGAAUGAUGCAUAUUGAGUGCAAAAAAGUCUGAAAUUGAAAUAAGUUAAAAAAACGAAAUGCCUUUGUAAGAGAUGAGUAUUCGUCCGAAACCGUGAUCUUUCGAAAGAGAUUGUCCAGUUUGUACAUGAAGUGGAUCCAAUUUUUGCCGUAACCCUCCCAACUUUUUAGCACAUGCUAUGUGGGUGAAAUGAUUAUACCAUGCCAAGUUUCAACAUUUUCAGAGUUCAUUUGUAGCGGUUUUCAAUUUCAGGCUCGUUUAGCUCAAAACAAAUCAUUAAAUGCAUGUUCACCAUAUUUUAUCUACAAUAUUAUUGUGUCAACAUGUUUGUGUGCAUAUUUGUUUUGCUCAUUCAAGGACAUCCAAUUGUUCUUAUUUUUCUCUUGAUUUAUUGUUUGUCAAUUGGAUGGACAAGAAUUCCUAGGACCCUCCUCUAGCUAUCUAUGCUAUCUCAUCUCAAGUUCUAUUCAUGCUUCAUCAACAAACUUGAAAAAGCACUUGUCGAUCCCUCUAUGUGAAGGAGCACUUGGAGUUCCGUAUCGUCAAAGACUGCCUUCCAAAACCUCUUUGUGAAUCUCGGUGAAACCAACCCCACAACUCGGUUCCACCGAAUUUCCAAAGUUGAUCUUGUUUUCCAAUGUUGGUACCACCGAAAUCACCAACUCGAAUACACCAAGUUUCCCUGUCAUCUGACACCAGAGGAACUCAGUGACACCGGUUUUGUAAUCUCGGUGACACCGACAGCGACGGGUAUAUAAUGUCGCGGACAGGACGUUUUGAAAUCCUCUCUUCAAAUGUUUCGUUCCCAAACCCUAAGAUGUCGCCGAAGGACCUGUGGUCGUCGCCUUUGCCUACCUGAGCACCUCCGUUGUUGGGAUUCGCUGUCAUCGAUGGAAUCUCCACCGUCGUCGCCGCCGUAGUCGGACCGCCAACGAGCUAGGGUACGGUUUCGAUCUCCUCUUGUGUUCCUUUAAUCCAACUCAUGCGCAUUAGGAAUUUUUGUCCACAAGCCGCCAUUGUGCAAACCCCUCCUUCCACCAGAGAAUCUUGUAGCAUAGAGAACGAUGGGAUUUAGGAUUUGAUCUGCCGCAGCAUGCAACUCGGUGAGACCAAGUUGGUAAAAUUGGUUCCACCGAUUUUAGUUUUAGGGUUCCUCAGAAGAAACUCGGUGAAACCGAGCAUCUCUUUCGAGUGACACCGAAAAAGACUGCCAAGUCUUUGUUAUUCGAGUAGAUUUUCUCGGUGACUCCAAAAUGACCAACCCGAUGCUACUGAUUUACAUUCUGCAGAAGAUCAUACCCUAAGUUUGUGAAUUCAAAUUUUGAAUAAUCCUUCUGUGUUUUGUGAUGCUCAACCCUUCUGCUCUUCAAUAUCUAUUUCACAGCAUUGUUGUUUGUUGGUUUGCUCCUAAGUUGUUGCUUGUGUGCCAAGAUGUUAGGAUCUGAGGAUAGCCAGAAUGAUUUCAGAGAAAACAUUAUUGAGAUGGACUCACCCACAAGUCUUGAGAAGGAAGACUCUGACCCUGGAUCUUACAGCUCCCAUGGCUUGCCCAAGGCAGCCACCAGGGAGAGAAAGAAGCUUAAUUCAGAUGAAAAGAACUCAGAUUUUGUGCGAGAGGAAAUUUAGUUCCUCCAAAGGCUCCUAAGAAGACUGUCAUGAAAGAGUACGCAAGACCUGCUAAUCUUAGAGCUCCCGAGUUUGCAAGGCAAAGUAUGACACUCUCCACUGAUAAACCUGCUAAGAAGGCUGGUGUGAAGAGAGCUAGUAAGAGGGUAAUUCAUGUUAUUGGGAGAAAAACUUCCAUGUAUGAGGAACCAGAAGAUGCUGCUCGAGAGGAUGAGAACCUAGCUCCUCCUAAGAAGAAGAAGCUCAUGGUUGAUGCCAUGCCCAGGAAAUAUGCUCCUAAGCCUCCUUCUAUGGCUAAAAGGGUUGUAGCUCAUAGGAAUACUACAAAGGAUUUUCCUGCAGCUGCCAUGGAGAAAGGCCCUGCUUCCAGUGCCUUUGCUACAGAGGAAGAAGAAGAGAAUGCACCAAUUCUCAGCAAGCUCCGACCAAAUCUACCACUACACAAUGUUGCACAUCCAGUAGCCGAAGAUAUGAAGAAUAGGAAAGAUGCAUGUCUGAGGAAAUGGACAGCUGCAGAUCCAUAUGCCAUAAGGACAAGAAUUGCUAUUGAUCCAAGGUUUCACACCAAGGAACAACAAGACUUCUAUGAGAUUUUCUUGUAUGACAAAAUUCCAGCUGAUAGUGACAUGAGAUAUGUUGAUUGGGCUUACAUCAAAGCCAAUGAAAAUUUCUUUCCCCAUGUGCAAGCCAAUUUCAAGUCUGUAGACAUUGAAGAUUUUGUUGGAAAAUAGAUGACCCCAUGGAAUGAUGAACUGAUCAUGCAAUUUUACUCAACUGUUCAUUUCUCUGGAGAUGGUUCUAUUGUCUCGAUGACUGAUGGUCACAAGUAUGAGGCAACGAUUGAUGAGUGGGCCACUGUCAUUGGUACCCAUAAGUAGAAAGAGAGUGAUGUUGAUGUGUACCCUGAGCCGAUGAUGAGCCACAACUCCAUGGACAACAUGUACAAGCCAAUUCCUCACAUGUUUUUGGCAACUCACAAGAUGGGCUCAGUAUACUUAUUGCAAGCAGGGAUACCCACAACUAAAACCAUUCCGAGACACACCUUGAUGCCUAAAUUAGGCGAUGAUAGGAUGAUUAGAGGACACUCUAUCAAUCUGGUGCACCAUUUGGACUCCCACACUAGAUUGAGAGUGAUGGACUUGACUAUAGACACUAUUUGGAGGACUACUGCUAAUCACAAAAGAUCUUGUGGAUAUUCCCCGUACAUUUAAAUGCUUAUCAAUGCCAAGCUAGGAAAGCAUGCAUAUCUACUUGAUCGUCCCUAUUUUCACCUUCAGUCAGAAUUUGAAGUCAAUGAAGUGGUGAUGGAUGACAAUGAUCCUAGCUCAGCUGCAGCUAGAAUGGCAGCAAAGGCAGCAGAAGCCGAGGCUGCUAGAAAUGAGCCACCACCAGUUCCACAGCUCAGAACUCAAGCUGAGCAAAAUGGCAUUUCUAGUUAACUUUGUCCAAGGUAUGGAUAAGAACAUCUCGGAGAUGCUGCAAAAUCAGAAAAGCCUAGAGAGAGUCGUGGAAAGAAACUUUCAUGACAUGGAUGUGAAGGUAACGGAGUUGACCACUAUAGCCAAAGAGCUUCAGCAUGAAGUUGACUCGGUGCAUAUUCCACACCCAGAUGAUGGUGAUGACGACGAUGAUGAUGAUGAAGACUCGCCUCCUCUCGCUACCACUCGGUUCGGCACCAAGCCUAGGUCAGCUGAUGUUCCUACUCCAGAGAUAAGACAGACUUCUUCAGCUCAAGCAUCUGCACCUUCAGCUCCAGCACCAGCUCUAGCUCAAGCACAUCCACUAUCCACUCCUCCAGCUCCAUGACACUCAAUAGAUGCCUUCAUGGACGGUCUUCUAUCGACUCCAUCAUCAGCUGCCCAGAGAGACGAUUAGCUCUAUACUUUUUAAACUUUUUGGUAACUUGUUGCUAAAGGGGGAGAAAUGUACAUAUCAUAGGGCUGAGAGAGAGAGAGCUUUUGAUUUUAUUUGCUCUCAUUUGGUUUUACAAAACUUUGUCUUUUUGGACGACUUUAUCCAGUUACCUGUGUUUGAUCGUACACUUUGCUUGGUUGUUGCUAUGUUAUUAUCCUUUUAGCUAUCUACGUGAUGUUCAUUCACUUAUCUUGUUGGUGUCAUGUGGAUUACUAUUCAUUCUUAUCUUGUAUGCGCACCACCAAGAUGUAUGUGACAUGGAAGAGUGACCCAUUAUCCUAAUCAAUUGUGCAUUUGCAUUCAAACGCAAAUUUUAAAUAAUGCACAAAUUUAAGGGGAGCUCUUGCCUUUCACAUACUUCUCAAAGCGUCGAUGCUAAUCAUUGACUAUAUCUUUUGUCGAGGCUUUGAUCUAUAUGUUGUCAUCAAUUACCAAAAAGGGGGAGAUUGAAAGCACAAUUUCUCGCUAGGGUGGCUUUGAUAAUUGAUCACAACAUAUGCAUCAUUGGAAUAAUAUGUUUAUCCAAGUAUAUUUCAGAAAAGUUCAAAAAGUUGCUGUGGCUAAAGGCUUAUGUGGAGAUGCCCCUUGAUGCAGGAAAGGAAUAAUAUUGGCUCAAGAUUCAAGAUAGAAGACUCCUCAUUUUCUAUUUGUGAGAAAUCACUUUUGAUUCCAUAGGAAAGCCAAUACAAUUAAAAGGGGGUGAGGUAUUAAAAUGAACUGGUUGCUCAAGUGCGCAAAGUUAGCCACCAAAAUACUCACUCAUUUUUCCCACAUAACCAUCAUGUCCAAUUCCACACAAUCAAAUUCGGUGCCACCAACUUUCCCAUUUUGGCCCCACCAAGUUGGAUCUUAGACAGAACCCUAGCCAUUCCCACCAUAUCGGUGCAACCGAAACCAUAUCGAUGCUACCGAGUUCAAGGUGACCAACUUUCUGUUGCCUCGAUACACAAAAUUGGAAUUUAUGAGUUUGCGUAUCGGUUUCACCGAGUUGUGUCAUCUGACCGUUAGCCACCUUUUUGGUGCCACCUAGUUGUGUAUAUCGGUCCCGCCGAGAUUCAAAAGUUGUUGCCUUUAGUGCAAGUCGGUACCAUAGAGUUGAUGACUUCGGUGUCACCAUGUUUUCCAAUUUAGAUGUAAUGGUUUGAUUUUGUGUGCUGCCUAUAUAGACCCCUUCACCCACCUCUCAUUCGUGAAAGAAGCUCUCGGAACACACACUUCAUUGCCAGAUCCAUUUUUCCGAGAGAGAGCCACCUACUCAUGUGUUGAGACCAAGAUAUUCCAAUCCAAUCAUUUGAAACUUGAUCUCUAGCUUCCCCAUGUUGCUUUCCACCAAACAAAUCUCUCCUACCCAUGCCUAUUAUGUGAGAGAGUGAUUUUGUGUUGAGGAGACUAUAUUUAGAAGCACAAGAGCAAGAAGUUCAUCAUUCUACCACAUCUAUUAACUUUUCGAGGGUGGUGCCUCCUCGAUUGGUUAGGUGUCGCUUGGGAGCCUCCUACUUCGUGUUGUGGAGUUGAACCAAGAUGUUUGUAAGGGCAAGGAGAUCGCCUACUUCGUGAAGAUCUACCAUGAGUAAGGCUAGUCCUUUGUGGCCGAAAGCCGUGGUGGAAUAGACAAGGCCGCUUCUUCGUGGAUCCCUUGUGGGUGGAGACAUAUGUGGACUCUCGCAGUCGUUACCUUCCGUAGGUUGAAGUCUCCACUAACAUGGACGUACAAUAGCGCGGAACCAUGCCAAAAAUCACCGUGUCAACCUCAUGUGUUCGAUUUCCCUAGCUUACUCCUUACUUUACACUUCAUGUUUUACAUUCCGGUGCUACACUAUUAGAACUACAUGUGUAGGGUGUACUUGACUUGCAAUAACCGCCAAAUCCACCCCUCAACUAAAAUUGGGAAAAGGCUACAUUUUUAUCUUGUCAAGUAGUCUAACCACCCCCCUCUAGACAUACUUUCGAUCCUACAGCGGCGUAUACCUAUGCCUCCCGAAACUUCUCAUGUCGCUCCUCCGCACCAUGCCCAUGUAAUAGACACAGGCCUCUCCGAUGGUCAUGGUACAGUGCACGGGCGAGGGAGGCAUGAUUAAGGAGGAGGGUAGCGCGACGGAGGAGGAAGAGAAGGGUAACACUGGGUCAUCGUCACACGUAUCCUCCAUUGGGUUGUCGACGUCCUCCGACUGCGUGUCGGCCAGCCAGCGGGAAGCAAUGUGGGCCAUCUCCUUCUUCUAGUAUGGCGUUAGCCCGUCCCAAAGAGCUUUGGCGGGGGGGAUCCAUUGUGGGAGUGUUGUGGAGUGGAACCGGAGACUAAUGAAUGUGGCUAUGGCCGGGGCAACGGUUUAUAUAGCAAUUGCUGCUGUAGACGGACGUCGGGCGGCGGUCGGGUCGUUUUAACGUGCAGCAAUUGUCUGCAAGCGAAAUGGGCGAUGCUCUCUCGGUCGACGCGCCGCUUCAAUGUCGAUGCUAGUGAGCGUUCAUGUCCGCUCUGGUCGGGCAUGAAUGCGGGCAGUGAUCAUUUCACGCGGGGGGAGGAGAGUCUUUGGUGGAUUAGGGCGGUCAAAAUGGUUGAAGUAGCGGUCUGGUCUACCAGAAACCUUCAUACAUUUGUCUUCGUUUUACAAACGCAUGUGCACGGUUCAAACUGCUGCGAGAGGUUUUGAGGGUUGGCAUUGAAGAUGUCCCGAGACUAACAUGUUUGUCGGUACAUGGUGGGCGUAUGCUCUUGCAUGCUAGUUCUCCAGGCUCGUGCCACUUUAUGGCACCUUCGGUGUCCACGUCGACUUGAGCGGUGAGCCCGCCCCCUCCCUCCCUCUAUGUACAGCUCUUGGAGGUCGUUCACGUGGCCACGGCCGCGUCCACCGGCGUGAUCCCUAAAUAUUGGCCAUCACUAAGUGGGGAAAAUGCCUUUUUCCUAUUUAAAGCCAAUAUUGCAUUUUGGGGCCUUUCCAAAGGAACUACCAUUUUGGUAGCUAGGAAAAAUCCCAAAUAAUUAGUGGAGCUUCUCAUAUCCAUAUAAUCAUCAUUUCCAUCAAAAUAUCAAGUUCCCCAAUUCAAAAAUUGAGCACAACAUCCCUUUGCAAAUUCUGUCCAGAUUUCCUGUUUGCAAAAGAAGUGCUUGAUUCCUUGUUUCCCUUGAGCUGAAAUUUUGCAGGGUAGUUCAUUGUGAUAACUUAUCCUUGUCCACCAAAAUUUAGCCCAUUCCCUCUAGCCAAUCUUCCUCAGCAAAUUAUCUAAGUUUGUGUCCAGAUUGGAGCACUGUGAAGGAAGUGCCAUUUAUAUUUAUGCACAUGGUAUGAAACUUUUACAGUGACUUCAUAUGCCUAAAUCAUUAGUCUCCUCCAAGUUUGAGCCAUUUCCAUCUAUCCAAUCAACCCCAGCAUAAGCUUCUUCCAUUCUGGUCAGGAUGCCAAGUUACAAAGGAAGUACCCCCCUAGACUUAUUUGUUUGUGCUGAAUUGUGGUCAGGAUAGUGACCUUAGUGAGUGGUCAACCUCCUCCAAAUAUCAUGCCAAUAGGAGCAUUGUGGUGGCCAUUGCACAGAUCAAACACCUUGCUGUUGGAAACUAUUUGGCUUUGGUUUAGUCACACCAAUGCUCCCCAGUGGUGUGUGUUGUGUCAAUUCAUCUCAGUGCAGCUUGUAGAUGAGCCUAGACAUGACUUGGAAGAUUAUGGGGUGUGGCAAUGUCGUGGCAUCGUGGUGACCACAUGCAGAGCAUGCCAAAACAGAGCUCUCUGCAUUGAGGUCGAUGGGAGCUCGAUUCCAGUGGGUUCUAGCUUGUCUAGGAGUGCCGACAAGCUCCCCACUACACUCCCGCACCCUCUAGAGCCCUCCCCCCUUGCUCCCUAGCCAUGAAAGCCUCUGCCAUUGUCCCGAAGCUUCGACCAUCGUCAUGGAGCUUCGGCCAUCGCCGCGAAGCUUCCUCCCAAGGCUAUUUAAGCGUGUCCCAAGCCCCUCCUGACGGCCAGCAACCUCCAAAGACCCUCCUUCGAGCCCCGGAGUCCCUCCCCACUACAAGGGUCGAAGGCCGCUGCCGUUCCCCUCGGCCUCCGCGCAAAAACCCUCUCUCCAGCUGUCCCAACUCCGUCCGAGCACACCAAUGGACGCGCUCUAACCCAGGGACUCCAUCCCCACCUUCGCCCGCUCCUAAGGAUCCUCCAAUCGCCGGAAUCUCGCCGGGGCCGGGCCAUGGCAGCCGCGGGAUGUUGCGCCGCCGGGCCUUCCCAUCAGUCGUGGACCCCACGAGGGGACGCGCCACUAGCCAGCAAGCCCGCUAGUGGCCUCCGUCUGGUCGAGGGUGGCCGGAGCCGUCCCGGCGAGCACCCAGCGUCGGCGCCCUCUCUCUGCCUCGCGGGCACGAGAGGGAGGUAGGAGGCGAGCCAUGGGAGGAGAGAGAGAGAGAGAGGGAAGAGAGGGAGAGAUGGGGAGGACCCCGCGUGUAAGGGAGAGAGAGAGGGAGUGGAUAAGGCGGGCCCCGCCCAUAAGAGAGAGAAGAAGUCAAACCUCCCGGGUCCGCGUUGAUAAGUGAAAGCGUAAUUUGUAAAGUACGCUUUCGGUUUACCGAGCGUAUUUUCCGAAAUAUGUUUUUUUUAAACCCCGCCGGUCGAACUUCUUAAUUAGUGGACGUUCACUCGUUUAGACCGAAAAUGAAUAUGUUUUUAUUUAUUUUCUGCCUAAACAACGAACAGCCACAACUUUUCGCACGUAGCUCCAAUUGAGGUAAAACCAAUGCCCACGUUUUCGUCUUGUCGAGCCUGUUUUGAUAGUAUGAUUUUCAUAAUGUGUUUGCACAGUAGAAAUGACUGUUUUGCCCUUGCCCUCUUAUUGAGCCCUCUGAGAGGGAAACUUCUUCGACAAAUCUUCCCGGUGUUUUAUCGUGCUUUUUCCCAGAGUAUUCGUCGACUCUCAGGCAAGCCAACCUCUUAUCAUGAGCUUCAAACUUGCGUGAUGACUUUGCUUGCACUCUGUGUUUAUGUGUAUCAACAGUUAGUCUGCAUUUGCAUACAUCUGUGAUGUUAUCGGUAGUAGCUUUUAGCAUUACCCUUUUAUCUAAUGUCAUGUCUUGAUCACGUGAUACCAUGCUAAUAAUAAUACUGUUAGUAACAUUUACAUGUAGUACUAGGGUUUGAUCUCAUGCCAUGAUGUUGACAUUACUGUCUAUGAUUAAUUUGGGUUUCAUCCGACAGUUUAUGGAUAUGGAUCAACAUUAGUGGCUUGAGCUUAUUGAUUAUUGGAUUACUAUCGGAGUGUCACCUACGACGGACAUAUUAUCUGGAGAUAAGAUAACCUAGUUGGUUGAUCUUGAGUCACCUGCCCGGGCUUACCCGCGCAACCACAUUUGCCGACAUGGGACGUCCUUGACUUGGUCUGAUUGCGUGCUCUUUCACCGGUACUUCCAAAGAGGGAGGGUUAUGCACGCGUGUUACCUUGAUGAGGUAGGUGGGGAUAACCUUGUGAGCCAGUUUAGUUGUUUGUGUUGGCGUCCCCGUUUGGGACAGUUUAGUUUGGCCACGACGGUGGCAUGUCUCAUGAGGACACAAGGCCACCCAAGGCAGGACUCGGGGGGAGGAUGAUUGCCGGUGGUGCGAUGGGAGAGUCACGGGUCACACAAGUUUCGUUGGAGCAACACUAGUCUACCCGAAUGGGAUCACGAGGUCAGUGCUCCAUAGUGUGGGUAAAAUAUGCAACCUCUGCAGAGUGUCAAAUCCAUUCGAAUAGCCAAGUCCACUGUAUUGGACAGCCCAACCAGACCUCUGUAGAUGGUCAACCAUAUCAGUGUUAGUAAUGAUGGAAGAACUCAUCUUGUGUGAACAACAGAGGAUGUCGAUAACAUGAUAUGUUAGCCAAGAGAUGGCUACAUGAUGAGUAGUCAGAUGACUAUAUGAUUUGGAGGUGAUUUGGAUCCGUCCAGGUUGGAUUAUGAGCAUAUCGAUAGUUGUGGAAUCACCCAGAAGAGAGUAAGUUGACAUUCAAUAACAGUAAGUAAUUUAAGCACUUGUUGUGAUCUUUGACAUGCUAGUUAGGUAGAUCACAUGUUUAAUCCACGUCAUGCUAUGCUUGAUUUAUGUUUUCUCAUUAAUUUCAUGUCAUACUUAGAAUAAUCAGUAUAUACGUAUAGAGCUAGCUUUGUUAUCUCCUUGUUUGGAUGCUAUGUACUUGGUUGUCUUGCGAGUACAUUCAAAGUACUCACCUCGCCUGCACGUGGCCAGUUGCAGGAGAAGACUCGUCGUGCUAGAUCGUAACCCAGCCAGUCCUGCGAGUUAUGGAGCCUAGCCAGAGAUGUUGUUGCCGUUGAUUCAAGACCUCUGCUACCAUUUAGUUAACUUUGGAGGUGUAUAAUAUUGUUGUAAGCAACAGUAUUGUAAUACUCCAUUAUUUUAAUAAAGCCAUUUUUUGUCUGGAAUCGAUGUACCAUGUCUUUGACGUGCGCCCGGUCUUAUCCUAGGGACGGGCGUGCGUCGGCCCUCUAUCGGGGUGCCACACGACGUCAUUGUGGGAUUGUUGUGGAGAGGGUCGGAGACUAAUGACUGCGGCUAUGGUCGGGGCAACGGUUUAUAUAGCAAUUGCUGCUGCAGACGAACGAUGAGCGGCAGUCGUGUCGUUCGAACGUGCAACAGUCGCCUGCAAGCGAAGAGGGCGGUGCUCUAUCGAUCGACGUGCACUAGUGGAGAAUGGGGUAUUAGAACCGGUUGGUAAGGGCCUUUGGACCCGGAUACACAUCCGGUGCUACGUAUCCGGGACUAAAGCCCCCCCCUCUAGCACCGGUCUCUUACAAACCGGUGCUAAAGGCCUCCACGUGGGCGCCGAAGAGUGCGCGCAGGCGGAGGACCUUUAGAACCGGUUGGUAACACCAACCGGUCCUAAUGGUUUUUUUUUCCUUUUCUUUUCAGGGUUUCCGAUUCCGUAUUUCGGUGUUUCCGUGUUCCGUAUUUUCAGGGUUUUCGUUUACGUGUUUCCGGUUCCGUAUUUCCGUAUACGUCUUUCCGAUUCCGUGUUUCCGAUUCCGUGUGUCCGUGUUCCGUUUUUUACGAACACGGAAUCGGAAACACGUAAUCGGAAACACGUAUCCAGAAACACCGAUUCCGUGUUUGCGGUUAAGUGUUUCCGAUUCCGUGUUUGCGGUUAAAUGUUGAUGCACCAAAUAAAAGUACAUAUAUACAUGUAACACGAAGUACUGGACCGAUUAUCAUUACAUAAUUUGAAGUUCGUUUCCUAUAGCUGUAUACUUGCAUAGAGAAGGGAGCUGGCUAUUGGUUCAUAGGAUGGAAAAAUUCUCCGCCUUCAUCUAUGACUUGCAUGAGGAGAAAUCCUGCCAAUUCCUCUGCAACUGCCUUGCAACGUUGGAUUGGUCUGAGCAUCACCCGCUUUCGUUGCAGCUUUAAAAGAAUUAGAUGAAAACAAUUAAGUUAUGAACAAAACUAAACAUAAUUGAUGGAAACAUAAAUAAAGUUGUGAAGAUCCGGUUACGUACCUCUAGAUUUCUGGAAGUACGGGAUUUCUCAUUGAUAAUCCUGUGAAUGUACUCGCAAACGUAGUAUCCACAAUAAUCAGUGCCCUGUGGUUGUUGCAGGACGCCCUAUAUACGAGAACAUAAUUCAGUCAAAUUAAUAAUAAUCAAGAGAAUGGUAAUGGUAUUGAAACCAGGGUACGUAGUACUACUUACUUUGUUAAUCUGAAAGUGGAGCUUGUCUGCCCAUGUACCUGGUUCUUCCUUGAUGAACAUUUGCCAAACCCUGGCCGACAAAGAAAAAUGAAUACAAGAGUUAAUUAUUACUUACUUGAUAUCAGGAAAUGAACGAAAAAGAGGUCGAUGAACGAAAGAGGCCGAUAUAUAUAUACCUUUGAAGCAUCUGACGCGCACUCUUCCAUUUGUCAGCGUCCCAGGUUAACGGGUCCCAGACUUCAACUUGUCCUUGAUCGAUUCUAAUGAUGAACAAUAUGAAGUGGGACAUGCGCACGUGUACACACGCAGUCAUGCAUACUCAUCAAUUACACUUAACAUCAGGUAAGCAAAAUGGAAUGUGUACAAGACAGUAACACUCACUUGAAUCCGUAGGGCCGAAGUAUUUCUUUUUUGGUACUUUGUCGCUUCAAAAACCUUAGCAAAUCAUCCGGUGUAUCCUUGUUGAACUUUUCUAUUGUCUCUUGAUAAAACGAAUACGGGUCAAUGAACCCAAAGUCGCAGAUUCCUGCCAGCCUGCAUUCACGAAUCUUCAUUCUGCAUAGUAGCGUACAAAAAGAAUGUCUCGUGAGUGAUAAUUAUACGGGCAAUGAACGCGAGCUUAACUAAAUAAUUAAAUUACACAAAUAAAUCACUUACAAACAGUAGGAGCUGACGAUAGCUUUGUCGAGGGCACAUUGAUUGUACAUCUGGAAAAAAUCAUCAAACCCAACCUCCACACCGUACUCUCCGAAGUAGUGUUGAUCCUGAACUGCCGCCAUGAUACAGUCUCUCUUUUGCCUUGCGGCCUCCAAGUACCAAACAUGUAAAUUCCAUAGUUGGGUUGUUAGAGCACUAGGAUUUUCGACCAGAGGGUGCUCGGGCUUAUAUUUAUAUACCACAUCAGCAAUAGCGUAACCUACGUCGCCCAUGCGUGGACCGGACACUGAAGCCUGGUCAGAUAACACCUUGAGCGGGGCAAUUGACUGUGCUUCUUGUUGUCCGAGCUGGGGAACUUGUUCCCCGCAUUUCGUCUGCUCCGCCUGCUUCAUCUGCUCUGCCUGCUUCAUCUGUGCGGUGUGCAUCUUUUCAAUGAACCGUUAAUAGUCUGAAAGGGGCGGCGGUGGCGGUGGUUCAGGAUAAUAUAAGUUGUCGAUGGUGCGCUCAAUUUUCCACUUUGGUACGUUCUUCAGAGUUUCCUUCCAGAUGUCUGGAGGGGGCUUCAGGGGAAACCGUGCGAACCAUGCUUUGUUUUUGGCUUUCACGGCCUCGUCUAGUUCCUCCGGAGUCAUCAGGCCUGGUAACUUCGGGGGAGUCUUGACUUUAUUGGGUUUCCUUUCUCUCUUCUUGGGAGGAGUCCCGUUUCUUCUGAACUGCAGCUUCCGCUUUGCCGACCCGUAGUGGGCGCAUCCGUCGGCUCACUGGAGUGCACGGGCGAUGGACUCUCGGCCUCGGGCUCCCUAUCUUCGUUGUGGGGUGGACUUGGAGGUCGUGCUUCUCUGUACGAAAGUGAAAAAACUAUUAAAAAUAGGCUUACAUGUGGUGCAACAUUCAGUAAUUGUUGGAGGUGGUGCAUUUGUACCUGGAGGAGUCGGUGGCCUUGGCGCCGCGUUAGGAAACACGAUGUGUUUCUUCUUCCACAAGAUGAUACCAAGCUCCAUUUCUCCCAGUGUCUUCUCGCCUUCACCUCCAGGAAUAUCAAGCUCAAUUGACUGGCAUCCCGGCGUAAUUGUUGACAACCCGACACGAGCAUGAGAUGCUGGAAUCUGACCACCAUGGUAGGUUGCUCCGGGUUGAUUCGGUAAAGCAUAGCCUGACGCCACCAUGAAGGAUAUGUUCCCCAUUGGCAUAUGUCUCUCACAGUUUGUCUUCUCCGUGACAUCAUCCACGGGGUAGUGAGGCGUCGACGGUUCGACUGCAGGACCGUCUUCUAGCUGCAGCUGCGUGGAACCCAUGCUGCUUCUAUGCUGAGAUGGGACGGCAUCUGCUACAGGAUCGUCUUCUAAUUGCUGCUGAUCAGCGUUAGGUGCAGGAUCUUCUUCCUCCUCUUCAGUGUCAGGUACAGGGUGUCCCCCUUUCUUCAAGAGAAACGCCACCUUUUCUUCUAAUGUCGUUAUCCGUUCCAGCGCCUUCCUCUUGCUUCUACCACGACUUCUGUAAGUGCCAAAGUCCGCCGGAAACCCUUGGUUCCACGGGGUAGUGGCUCCAAAGCCUCGUGUUCGUCCCCACUUUUCGGGGUUCCCGAGUGCCUUCGUCAACUCGUCGUUCUCUCUAUCGGGAACAAAAGUUCCUUUUCGAACAGCUUCUAUUGCCUUCUCUAGAUCUGAUACGACUUGUGUUAUUUUUUCCGACCAUGGUCCCUCCGCAACAAUCAUCCCAGUCUCAGCGUCCAACGUUGCCCCAUGCGCGAACAACCAGAACUUGGACCUAUCGGGCCAGUCAUGUGUCUGUGGAAUGAUAUUUCUUUUCAGAAGCGCAUCUUCAUAGCGUCGCCACCUAGGCAGGGCAGUCAUGUAGCCACCUGACCCCAAAAUAUGGUGAUGUUUCUUCUUCUUCGCAUUCUCCGUAUUUGUGGCUGAUCGGGAUGUAAAGACACCCGAUUUCUUGUACGCCUUAAAAUCAGGCCAAGCGUCUCUUAUCUUCACUAGGUGCCCAGUGAAAACUGGAUCUUCGUCCUUAUAUUUCUUCCACAAGUCUUUCUUCCACCUCUGGCAUUGUGUGGCCAUCUUCUUCAAAGCCCACUCCUCGACUUUCUUCUUCUUAUCUUCCGCUACGCUGAAAUUUAGCCAGACCGUGUCGCAAAGCACUCUUUUCAAUCUGUCAUCGACAUAAGUAGCUCCAACGUUGGCGCCGGUCUUCGGCUUAUUCCAUUCUAUUAAGUUGAUCGGGACCAGGUCUCUUACAACAACUCCGCACUGAUUUACAAAUUUGCGAUAAGUUUCUGGGGGUUCCAGUGGUUUGCCAUCAGCAGCAACUUUAUCGAUCGAGUACCUUGCAGUAUCUUUCAACCUUGCGGCCGGGCCUCGUUUCGACUUUGUCUCAGUACUUGCGCUAGCUGUUCCGGAGGGCGCCUAAAUGGGAAAAUAAUGAUUCGUUAGUAAGUGCAAUACAAAUUAAUUGUUGCGUCAACAGUGACUUGAGAUAUACAUUGGCAGAGUUUGUUCCGGAGAGCACUUCUGCAUCUACUACAUCUUCUAUAUUCUCAGCUCCGUCACCGGAGUCGUUCAAAAAUUGAUUGCUAAACGCAUGUCCACCGUCGUCAUCAUGAUAUAUGGCCGUUGCAUCUUCAAAAAUCAUCUGACACAUGUAUCUUUCCUUCUCCGCCUCACCCAUUCCCGCGAGCUGAUCGGCGUGCUGAUCAUGUGGUUCUUGGGGAUCCAUAGCUCAACACCUGCUAGUAACAAGAAUUUAACUUAGCAAAAUUAUUUACGAAAAAGUUUUACGGAACCGGAAAGUUUACGGAAAAGUUUUACGGAAUCGUCGGAGUCGUAAUCGUCGGAAAUUUUUACGGAAUCGUCAGAAAGUUUUACGGAAUCGUCGGAAUCGUCGGAAAGUGCCCCAGCAAAACUAGUGAGAGGUCGGGGGGACAUGACGAAAGGGUCCCUUGGCCAACACAGUUAUAUUGUGUGACACAGAUUUCUUCACCGCAGUUCUGGCACAAAUGCUCGGGUGUUUUUUUUAAAAACGUCACCUCAUUUAUACAAUCAUAGGACUUUACGAUCUCCAUCGAUAAAACGGUAAGAAUAAAGUCUAAGGGUAAAAAUAGGAACUACAACAAUAUGGAUAUACAACAAUAUGAUAAGGCUCUAAAAUAGGAUAUACAACAAUAUGGAUAUAUGAUAUACAACAAUAUGGAUAUACGAAAAUAGGAUAUAUGAUACAACAAUAUGGAUAUAUGAUAUAUGAAAAAUAUGAUACAACAAUAUGAUAUACAACAAUAUGGAUAUACAAAAAUAGGAUAUACGAAAAUAGGAACUACAACAAUAUGGACGAUAUACCGUGGGAGAAGAAGAUGAAGUGGGGCGGCGAGGAGGCGGCGUGGGGCGGCGAGGAGGCGGCGAGGAGGCGACGUACGGCGGCGAGGAGGCGGCGAGGAGGCGUCGCGAGGAGGCGGCGAGGAGGCGGUGCGAGGAGGCCGCGAGGAGGCGGCGACGAGGCGACGAGGCGACGAGGCGGCGGCGACGAGGCGACGACGAGGCGAGGAGGCGGCGCCGACGAGGCGACGAGGCGACGAGGCGGCGGCGACGAGGCGACGACGAGGCGAGGAGGCGGCGCCGACGAGGCGAGGAGGCGGCGAGGAGGCGGCGUGGGGCGGCGAGGAGGCGGCGAGGAGGUCGAGUCGGCGAGGAGAGAAGGCGAGGAGAGAAGACGUACGCGCGGGAAGGCGAGAAGUUGGCGGCCCGGAGAGGUCUAGGAGCCUUUAGCACCGGUUGGUGNCACCAACCGGUGCUAAAGGUCCAAAAAUUGGGCGCGAAGCGAACCCACCUUUACAAACCGGUCCUAAAGGUUUUUUUCCUUUUUCUUUUUCCUUUUUUCUGUUUCCUGUUUUCUUUUUCUUUUUGUUUCCUUUUUCUUUUUCCUGUUUCUUCUUUUAUUUUUCUUUUUUGUUUCCCUUUUCUGUUUUCUUUUACAUUUAUUUAUAAAAUCAAAGUAGACUCAAAAAGCUUUUGUAAAAUCAAAUAUUUAUAAAAACAUAUUUAUAUUUUCUGAUAUUUUGUGUAAAAAUUGUCUAAAUGUCAUUUAAAACAAUAAAAAAAUAAAAAAUAAGAUAUUUAUCAAACUAAUUUGAAAAUAUAAAGAUAUUUUUUUGUUUCCUUUUUCUUUUUCCUGUUUCUUCUUUUAUUUUUCUUUUUUGUUUCCCUUUUCUGUUUUCUUUUACAUUUAUUUACAAAUUGUCUAAAUGUCAUUUUAACACUUAAAAAAUAAAAAUGAUAUUUAUCAAAAUGGUCAAAUUUAGUGGAAACUGGUCAAGUUUUUGAUAUUUAUCAAAAUGGUCAACACAAUUAUAUAAAAGGUUUAAUACAUUAUUACACAUCAUCAACAACACCCCCUAUCUAUUUUUCUUCUUGCUUUUCUUCUGAUUGCGCCGUAACCAUGGAGUAUCUUCAUCAUUUAACGGGAUGCUUGGUCAUCUUUGACUUUGAAGGGAGGAAUUUCAUCAAAUUUAUUGUAAUCUUCUGACAUGUCUGUCUUGUCCUCGACUCCCACGAUGUUUCUUUUCCCUGAAAGAACUAUGUGGCGCCUUGGCUCAUCGUCUGAUGUAUUCGCUUCCUUAUCUUUUCUUUUUCUCGGUCUGCUAGACAUGUCCUUCACAUAGAAAACCUGAGCCACAUCAUUGGCUAGGACGAAUUGAUCAUUGCCGUACCCAAGAUUCUUCUGAUCCACUGUUGUCAUUCCGUACUUCGGGUCUACCUUCCUGCCUGACAGGUUGAACCAUUUGCACCAGAACAAAGGGACCUUAAAGGAAGGUCCGUAGUCAAGUUCCCAUAUCUGCUCUAUGUAACCAUAGUAUGUGACCCUUUGCCCGUUGUCGUCUUUUGCAUCAAACCGGACGCCACUGUUUUGGUUGGUGCUCUUUUUAUCUUGGUCUACCGUGUAAAAUGUGUUACCAUUUAUCUCGUACCCUUUAAAGGUCAAUACAGUCGAAGAUGGUUGCUUGGCCAACAAGUAUAGCUCAUCUUCAACAAUGUUGUCAUUAAUGAGACGUCUUUGCAACCAACCGCCGAAAGUCUUCGCGUGUUCUUUAGCAAUGAAAUCUUCAGGUUGCUCCGGGUAUUCCGAGCAUAAAAUAUCCUUGUGUUCCUGGAUAUAUGGAGCCGCCAAGCUGGAAUUAACUAGAACUGUGUAGUGUGCUUGAGUGAAAGAUUGCUCGUCCAUACAUGUUGUUGAUUUCUUUCCUAGAGUGCCUUUUCCACGCAGUCUCCCCUCAUGGCGCGACUGAGGAACACCGAUCGGGUUCAGGUCAGGAAUAAAGUCAACACAAAACUCAAUGACCUCCUCUGUUCCAUAGCCCUUGACCAUGCUUCCUUCUGGCCUAGCACGGUUUUUAACAUAAUUCUUCAAGACUCCCGUGAACCUCUCAAAGGGGAACAUAUUGUGUAAGAAUACAGGACCGAGAACGGAAAUCUCUUGGACUAGGUGAACUAUGAGGUGCGUCAUAAUAUUGAAGAAGGUUAGUGGGAACACCAACUCGAAGCUGACAAGACAUUGGACCACGUCCUUCUGUAAACUUGGUAGAGUUGCUGGAUCGAUUGCCUUCUAAGAAAUUGCGUUGAGGAAUGCACAUAGCCUCACAAUGGGUACUCGCACGUUUUCUGGCAGAAGCCCCCUCAAUGCAAUCGGAAGUAACUGGGUCAUGAUCACGUGGCAGUCAUGAGACUUUAGGUUUUGGAACUUUUUCUCUUCCAGGUUUAGUAUUCCUUUUAUGUUCGACGAGUAGCCAGACGGGACCUUGAUACUGCUCAGUACUUGGAAAAAGAUCUCCUUCUCUUCCUUGGUAAGAGCGUAGCUGGCAGGACCUUUGAAAUUCUCUGGAUUCAUCAGGUCGUCUCGUUCGUGCAUACGUUGGUGGUGCAGCCGUGCUUUUGGUGUAUCUCUCAACUUCUUCCCAUGCACGCCCAAUAAGUUUAGCAGGUUCACGCAAAUAUUUUUCGUCACGUGCAUCACGUCGAUCGCAGAGCGAACCUCUAGGAAUUUCCAAUAGGGUAGUUCCCAGAAUAUAGAUUUCUUCUUCCACAUGGCUACGUGGUUGUCGGCGUCAUACGGAACAGAUUGUGCGCCAGGACCCUUACCAAAGAUUACUUUUAUAUCUUUGACCAUGUCAUAUAUAUCAGUACCUUUAGGGAGGGUUGGCUUCCUCCAUGUAUCUGCCUCGCCUUUGAAAUGCUUUCCUUUCUUUCUUACGGGAUGCCUGUCUGGAAGAAAUCGACGAUGCCCUGGGUACACAUUCUUGCCUAUAUGUAUACUUUCAGUCUCGCCUAAACAGUGUGUGCAUGCGCUGUAUCCCUUGUUUGACUGUCCUGAGAUGUUACUAAGAGCGGGCCAAUCAUUGAUGGUUACAAACAGCAACCCUCGUAGGUCAAAUUCCUCCUGUUUGUACUCGUCCCACACACGUACACCUUCGUCAGCCCACAACUCUAAAAGUUCAUCAACCAGUGGCCUCAGGUACACAUCAAUGUUGUUGCCGGGUUGCGACGGGCCUGGGAUAAGCACUGGCAUCAUAAUGAACUUACGCUUCAUGCAUAACCAAGGAGGAAGGUUAUAGAUACAUAGAGUCACGGGCCAGGUGCUAUGACUGCUACUCUGCUCCCCAAACGGAUUCAGGCCAUCUGUACUUAGACCAAACCUUAAGUUUCUUGGGUCACGUGCAAAGUCCUCGUACUUAUCGUCGAUGUUUCUCCACUGCGACCCAUCAGCGGGUUGUCUCAGCAUAUCGUCUUACUUACGGUCUUCUUUGUGCCAUCGCAGAAACUUGGCAUGCUCUUUGUUUCGGAACAAACGUUUCAACCGUGGUAUUAUAGCAGCAUGCCACAUCACCUUGGCAGGAACCCUCUUCCUGGGGGGAUCGUCGCCCUCAACAUCACCAGGGUCAUCUCGCCUGAUCUUAUACCGAAAUGCACCGCAUACCGGGCAGGCAUUUAAAUUCUCGUGCUGACCGCGGUAGAGGAUGCAGUCAUUGAUGCAUGCAUGUAUCUUAUGCACUUCCAAUCCUAGAGGGCAGACAACCUUCUUUGCUUCGUAGGUACUGCAGGGCAGCACGUUAUCUCUUCGAAGCAUCUUCUUCAUUAUUUUCAGCAGCUUUUCAAAUCCCUUGUCAGAUAUUCCAUUCUCUGCCUUCCAUUGCAGCAAUUCCAGGGUGGUGCCCAGCUUUUUUUGGCCAUCUUCGCAAUUUGGGUACAACAAUUUUUUGUGAUCUUCUAACAUGCGCUCCAACUUCAACCUCUCGUUUUCACUUCCGCAGUUUAUCUGUUCUUCACGAAUGACCUGACGAAGAUCAUCAUCAGACUCAUCAACAAUGUCCUCAAGUUCAGGCUCGUCUUCCCCCAUUUCAGUAUCACCGUGUUCACCGAACAUAGGAUAGUUAUCAUUAUCCUCUUCUUCUUCAUUGUCUUCCAUUACAACCCCUCUUUCUCCAUGCUUGGUCCAACAAAAAUAACUGGGCAUGAAGCCUUCUUGCAACAGGUGGGUGUGUAUGGUUCUUGAGUUAGGGAAAUUCCUCUUAUUCUGGCAUUUUUUACAUGGACAAAAAAUAAAUCCAUUCUGCCUGUUUUUCUCAGCCACAUUGAGAAAACUAUGCAUGCCACUAAGGAAUUCGGGACGACGUCGAUCACUGUACAUCCAUUGCCGGUUCAUCUGCAUUAUAUAAAUUUAUCAAAAACCAUUAUGCUAAAUCAUCAUGACUAAAUUAAUUAAUUAAUACAAAAAGUUCAUCACACGUUAAAACCAAAGUAGCAUAGUGACCAUACAUAUAUGGUUCUCAUAAAAAUAUACACUGAAACCAACCAUAAAAACUCUCUCUAAUUAAUGCAUUUAAAAACAACAACAAAUGCGAUCAAAAUCGCAACAAAGGUAACAAUUGACCCGACGGCAUAAUGAUACCAAGCCUCUUUACUAAUUGCAUAUUUUCUAAUCUUUCUAAUCUUCAUGCGCAUUGCGUCCAUCUCGCUCUUGUGACCAUCGACGACACCGGCGAGAACCUUUUCCAAGGUCAUCUUCUCUCUUUUAGUUUUUUCCAACCUUUCUUCAGUUUUUUUCAAUCUUUCUUUCAGGCCAACAUUUUCUUGUUCAACUAAGUGUAACUUCUCAACAAUAGGGUCGAUUGGCAUUUCCGGUUCCACUACCUCCUAGAUAAAAAUAUCUAUGUCAAGUUGAUCGGCGUAAUUAAUUGUCAUAUAAUCAGGAAAUGAAAAUAUGUAGUUAUAAAAGAUAAUAUACCACAUCCGAAUCAUAGACUGGACGAGGACCAACGGGGACGGAUAUCAAAACCAUGGCGCUAUACAUAUAAAAAAAAUCUUACACAAUAAGAAAAUCAUAUACAAGUAAAUAUGUAAAUCAUACAAAUCAAAAAAAAAAUUGGUAAAUAAAAACAAUAGGCUCACCAAGGUUGUGCCGGUGACGGGGCGAUCGACGGCGGUGAGGAAGGGGACAAGGCGCGCGACACUAAAAAAACCACAAAUCAUAAUUAAAUUUGAGCUCAAAUUGCAUAUGUAUACAUAACAAAUGAUGAACUCUCUCUAGCUUAGGCAUUUCAUCAAACACCUAGCUAGCACAACAAAAAUGAAAUGAGCAAGAAAAUGAGCAAAACUUGCAAUGCCGGAAGAGGGAAUGUUGAUGCUAACCGUAGGACCGAUGGGUGCCAACAAUCUUGACAAAUGGUGGAGAAAAAUGGGGAUGGAUUAGAGCUCCCAAGAGGAAGGAGAGAGCAAAAAUGGAGUUGAGCUCGAGCUGGAAAAAAUGAAGCUGAGCUCGGGGUGGAAUAUAGGGGUGCUCGGGGAGGAAGGAGAGGAAGGCUUUAGGUCCGGUUUGUGACCAAAACCGGUUCUAAAGGGUCUGACAGCGGGCCCCGCAGUUGUUGCAAAAAUGAGAAAACCUUUAGCACCGGUUUGUGAAACAAACCGGUUCUAAAGGGUCUGUCCACUCGGCCCCCCUCCCUGCAGCAAACGGUCCAAAAACCUUUAGGACCGGUUUGUGUUACAAACCGGUUCUAAAGGCCUUGCGGCCGUUUGCUGCAGGGAGGGGGCCCAGCGGACAGACCCUUUAGAACCGGUUUAUAUCCAAUCCGGAUCCAAUGUGGUUGGCUCAAUGCCCUGUUUUCUACUAGUGGUGCCGCUUCAAUGUCGACGCCGAUGAGCGGUCCGCUCUGGCCGGGCAUGAAUGCGGGCAGUGAUCAUUUCAUGCGGGAGGGAGGAGGGGCUUUUGAUGGGUUAGGACGAUCAAAAUGGUCGAAGUAGCGGUCCGGUCUACCAUAAACCUUCGUACGUUUGUCUUCGGUUUACGAACGCAUGGACACGGUUCAAACUGCUGCGAGAGGUUUUGAGGGUUGGCGUUGAAGAUGUCUCAAGACUAACAUGUUUGUCCGUACAUGGAUGGGGUACGCUCUUGCAUGCUGGUUCUCUAGGCUCGUGCCACUUUAUGGCACCUUCGGUGUCCACGUCGACGUGAGCCCGCCGCCUCCCUCCCUCCACGUACAGCUCUUGGAGCUCGUUCACGUGGCCACGGCCGCGUCCACCGGCGUGACCCUCGCGGUCGCUAUAAAAUGCGCGCAUGCUCGCUCACAAUAGACACAGCAACACAACAUCAGCCAAGUGUCAUCACCAUCGAUCUUAGCAAGGAGCACCUUCUCUAGUUCUCUUCUUGCGCUAGCUUUUCUCUGCCUUGAGUGAUGGCGACCAUGGUGGCUUUGAGCUCCUUCGCCGUUGUUGGCCGGUCCGCCGCCCGUUCUCCAGUGGUGGCCCCGCGCCGGCGCACCCUCGUCGUCAGGGCCCAGACCGAG
rnacentral:lncRNA from 1 species